rnacentral:lncRNA from 1 species
UUGAGGGAUGGUAUAAGAUGGUUUAAUGCACCGGCAAAAAUUGCGUGGUACUAGAGUGGCUAGUAAAGGUGGAAGGGUGAGAGUGCGUAUAAUCCAUGGACUCAACAUUAGUCAUAAAGAACUCAAAUACUUAUUGCAAAAAUUUAUUAUCCCUCAAAACAAAGUACUAAUACACAUGCUCCUAGGGGGAUAGUUCGGUAGGAAAAGACCAUCGCUUGUCCCCGACCGCCACUCAUAAGGACGACAAUCAAAAAAUAAAUCAUGCUCCAACUUCAUCACAUAAUGUAAGGCCAAACAUGCAUGCUUCGGGAAUCAUAAACCUUAACACAAGUAUUUCUAUCAACCCACAAUUACCAACUAGCAUGACUCUAAUAUCACCAUCUUUAUAUCUCAAAACAAUUGCAAGGAAUCAAACUUCUCAUAUAUUCGAUGAUCUACAUGAUUUUUUUUAUUAUAUCUCUCUUGAAUACCCGUAAUAUUAGGACUAAAUUCAUAACCUAAGCAAAUUGCCAUACUAUUUAUAAGACUCAAAAUAAUAUAAGUGAAGAAUGAGAGUUUAUCAAUUUCUUCAAAAUAAAACCACCGCUGUGCUCCAAAAGAUAUAAGUGAAGCACUAGAGCAACUGCCUAGCUCAAAAGAUAUAAGUGAGGCACAUAGAGUAUUCUAAUAAAUUCACGAUUAAUGUGUGUUCCUCUCAAAAGGUGUGUACAGCAAGGAUGAUUUUGGCAAACUGAAAAGCAAAGAUUCAUACAAUACAAGAUGCUCCAAGCAAUACACAUAUCAUGUGGUGAAUAAAAAUAUAGCCUCAAGUAAUUUUACCGAUGGAUUGAAGACAAAAGAGGGGAUGCCAUCCAUGGCAUCCCCAAGCUUAGGUGCUUGGUUGUCCUUGAAUAUUACCUUGGGGUGCCUUGGUCAUCCCCAAGCUUAGGCUCUUGCCACUGCUUAUUCUGUAGUCCAUCAAAAUUUUACUCAAAACUUGAUAACUUCACAACACAAAACUAAACAGAAAACUCAUGAGGUCUGUUAGUAUAAUAAAAGAAAAUCACCACUUAGGUACUAUUGUGAACUCAUUCUAAAUUUAUAUUGGUGUUAUAUCUACUGUAUUCUAACUUCUCCAUUAUUCAUACCCCCCCCCCCGAUACUAUCCAUAGAUUCAUCCAAAUAAGCAAACAACACAUAGAAAACAGAAUCUGUCAAAAACAUAACAUCCUGUGAAGACCUGUAUAUCACUCAUACUUCUGUAACUCCAAAAAUUCUGAAAAAUUAGGAUAGCAUGGCAAUUUGUAUAUCAAUCUUUUGUAAAGACUUCAGAACCAGAACACGUUCUUGUGAAUUUUAAUAGUUCUGCUACUGGACGCAAAAGUUUUUGUUUUUCUGCAAAAUCAAAUCAACUAUCACCAUAGAUCAUCCCAAAGGUCUUACUUGGCUCAAAGACUAAAAUACAAUUAUUACAGAAGUAAUAUCGUGUAUUUAUUCAAGAACAUAAGCAAAAACAAAAAAGACAAAAUAAAAUUGGGUUGCCUCCCAACAAGCGCUAUUUUUUAACGCCCCUAGCUAGGCAUAUUGCAUAGAUCCAGGUAUUGUCAUCUUUCUUCUUAUUUCCGUAGAUGUGUAUUGUAAGGAGGUUUUUCAAAUAUAACUUGAAACACAUUAUGAUGAGGACAUGGCUACCAUAGUUACACCCAUAGCCCCUACUGUUAUACCUAGUGGACCAACUACUAGAGCUCACACACGCCUGUUAAAUUAUCAGGUACUUUCAUUUCUUGGUAAUAUUUCUAAUGUUCAUGAGACUGUGAUGCUGCCUAACUUAGAUAUUUUGUGUUGGUUACAGUUGAAGCACCUAGCAUGGACAAGAAGAAUGAACACUGUAGCAUGAUCAAGCACUAUGAUGAAGGCGCACACGAAGGGAACGUGAACGGAGUUUCCGAAGGAGAUUUCCGCACUUUGAAGCCACCAUGAUGACAUACAAGAAGAUGGACGAAAUAUACAACAUAUCUUUCAUAAAUUUUGUCCAUAGCUUAUUAUUGGUGCUGCGCCACCUUAGUUUUGGGGAUUUGUUUAGUUAAAAGUUAGCCAAUGCAACUUUGUCUACUUCAUUUGUGUCCAACGACUAGACCAAGACCACUUUCGGAUCCCCUCCAUUAUCAAUACUUCAUCCAUAUUCGCAAUAUUCAAAUUGCUUUAUCAUAUUCUCGCUUGUUCUUCGAUUGCUUGCAGGAAUAGACCUUCGUGGUCAGGUUGAUUGUGCUCUAGCAUGGUCAAUAACCUCUCAGAGUUGGUUUAGUGAUUGCUAAGGUGCAAUGUCGUGCAUGUUUGUAGUCGGAUCGUCAAAUGCGUCUCCAUCAAAUCGAUAGUUAUCAUCUCAUUGAAAGAUCGGGACACACUCACCCCUAUCAAGUGGUAUCAAAGCCAACCCAGCUCCACAUAUUUCUACACCGUGCAUACCUACAUUGACCUGGCAAUCACUUUACCCCAUCUUUGGAGUUAUUUGACACCGCCGGUUCCCGAUCACCACCAGCUGCAUGGUAAGAACUUGCAAGGCUUUGAAUUUUGCUCUACUUAGAGCAUUUUACCACCACAUCCCAAUAGUUCAUAGGAACAUUAUUCUUGGAUUUUGUUUCUUGCCUACUAAUCAUGGCAAGUUCCAGAGUUAGUUGGGUUUCAUGAUCGUGGGAGACGUGCCAUCACCUCAAAAAAUACAACCACCAUCACACGACAUAGAAAGACAUCAGAAUGCACACAAACAUGUUCUUGUUUCCAUGCCACCUUUUAUUGGUCAUUUUAAGCUAGAUUUAUAUAUUGAAUGUGAGUUUAAAAUAAAGGCUAUAUUUGCUUCCCAUAAUUUUUCCGAACGUAAAAAGUUAAGGUCGCGGUUGGUACUUUCACUUGUUUUGCUACUGUUUGGUGGAGUGAACAUUGUCGGUUACACCCUGAUUAUGUACUUACUACUUGGGAUGAUUUAAAACUUGUCAUGAGAGAUAGAUUCAUUGAUGUUUAUUAUACUCAUGGCAUGAUUAAAAAACUACAACAUUUAAAACAAGGUAGUGACACUAUAACAAAAUAUUAUGAUGAUUUACAACUACCUUGUUGCACUCCUUUUUAGAGGAAACUAAAGAUGACUUUAUGGAUAGAUUUUGGGGAGGAUUAAACCGUGAUAUUCAGGAGAUACUAAUUCAUUAAGAGUGUUAUCCUAUGGAUCGUUUGUCUCGUCUUGCUUGUAAAGCUGAACUGGAAAUAAAACGACGUGUUGCCACAAGGAGAACAAGCGCAAGGUGCACAUUCCAAGAGAUGAUAUGGUUGUUCCUUCAACUACUAGGUGUGCUAUUGCAACCAUAUCCAUUGUUGUGAGGACUACAUCACCUCCACCAUGUGACACAUCGCCACUGAGAGUGCCUACAUCAUCUGAGUUGAUCAUAAGAGGUAACGAGAAAGGUACCGAUCUUCUACCUCCACAUGAGUAUGAUGAAUGCCUUGUUAAUUUAAAUGCACCAUGUGAUGACCUACCCACUACUUUGAUCACACCACAUAUUUUAGAGGACUAUGUUGGUGAUGACUUUGCUAUGUGAUCAAAUAACCGUAGUAUCAACAAUUCUAAGUGCACCCGUUGAAUUAACUGUUGAUGCAAAAGAACCAUGUGAAUCAGGGAAUAAAUCAGAUUUGGAUCAAAUACGUUUGAAAAUAAUUGUACCAAUGUUUAAUCAUUUUGAUAUGACCUCCAAUUUUGAUGAUGAUUCUAUGUCGAAUGACUUGUUGCAUGUUUGCUUACUUGAGCAUGUUUUAACAUGUAAUUUGGAAACAAUUAAAGUUUAUUCACCAAUGUUGGGAUGGUUUAAUGAUGAGCAUUGCCAACUUUUUGAUAUGAAUAAGAGCUUCACUUAUAUGUGCAAAAUAAGUUGCAAUAUAUUCAUGCCUUUGAUUAAUUCGGAUAAUAUUUUGGCUUUAUAUUCCAUGACAUCUGAAAAGUGCACUUGUAUAAAUGUGUCACAUGUGCCACAACCGAGAUCAAUAAAAAUGGAUGACAUAUACAUAUACAAUGUGUACACCUUUUCUCUUUUGUUAGCCACAUUUUAGAUUAGGCAACGCCGAGGAUGGCUUUGUUUUCAAGAAGGGAAGGAUGAUGAGGACAUGGCUACCAUAGUUACACCCAUAGCCCCUGCUGCUAUACCUACUGGACCAACUACUAGAGCUCGCACACGCCUGUUAAAUUAUCACGUACUUUCAUUUCUUGGUAAUAUUUCUAAUGUUCAUGAGACUGUGAUGCUGCCAAACUUAGAUAUAUUUGUGUUGGUUAUAGUUGAAGCACCUAUCAUCGAGAAGAAGAAUGAACACUAGAGAAUGAUCAAGCACUAUGGUGAAGGUGCACGUGAAGGGAACAAGAACGGAGUUUCCGGAGGAUAUUUCCCCACUUUCAAGCCACCAUGAUGGCAUACAAGAAGAUGGACGAAAUAUACAACAUGUCUUUCAUAAAUUUCGUCCAUAGCUUAUUAUUGGUGUUGCCACCUUAGUUUUGGGGAUUUGUGUAGUUAAAAGUUAGCCAACGCAAGUUCGUGUAAUUUGUUUGUGUCCAACGACCAGACCAAGACCGCUUUUGGAUUCCCACCAUUAUCAAUACUUCAUCCAUAUUCGCAAUAUUCAGAUUGCUUUAUCAUAUUCUUGCUUGUUCUUUGAUUGCUUGCAGGAAUAGACCUUCGUGGUGAGGUUGAUCAUGCUUUGGCAUGGUCAAUAACCUCUCGGAGUUGGUUUAGCGAUUGCUAAGGCGCAACGUCGUGCAUGUUUGUAGUCGGAUCGUCAAAGUCGUCUCCACCAAAUCGAUAGUUAUCAUCUCAUCAAAAGAUCGGGACACCCUCACCCCUAUCACAUUAUCAAUAGAAAUGUUAGCAUUAUCAAGUUUCCCAUCUACAUAUCCUCUUCGAUUCACAGCUUCAAUCCAAGAGUAUUGUUGAUUAACAUCAUUGAAAACUUGUUGAAUCACAUCCAAAACAGGAAUUUCCCUUUUAAGGUUCUCAUCAAAGAUUUGAUUAUUGCCAAGCAAAUGUCUUAAAACAUAAUCACUAUUGUAAAGGAUAUCAUCUAUCACCAGUUUUUCAUGGUUCAUACCAUAAAAAUCAAAGAUCUCUCUAGCUUCCCGCACUAUGUAAUCAAACUCAUUCAUAAGGGCAAGGGUAGCUUUUUUUUAGCUCUAAGAUCUUUUAUAACGGCCAACUCAUAAAACAAUAUUUUCAAAGUAGGAUGAGUAGUAAUAAAUCUUUUCUCAAGUUAAAAAUCAAGCGCGAAAUAGCUUCUGCAUAAGUUUUAGUUCUUUUAAGUAUAGGAAAAUUAUCACAAGUCAAAGUUCCAACACAAUUAAAGAAUUCUUGGAUGGUUUCUUUUCCUAUAACAUUCCCUUGUCCCAUAACGAAAGUUUUAGAAUCCAGAUUAGUAGAACAUCCAAUUUUAGGAGUUCACCCAUCAUCUGUUUUUGCCAUACCGAAAACACUCAUGAUAAUAGGUUUAAAGCAAGCACACAAGCAAACGGAAAGACAAACGGGAAGAAGGCGAAUAAGGUAAAUAUUGUUAUGUUUUUCUAAAAACGUUUUAGAAGUGGGGGAGAGGAAAACGGGAGGCAAAUGGCAAAUAAUGAAAGUGCAAGAGAUGAAAGUUUAUGAUAAGUACUUGGUAGGCUUGAUGUAGAACCUCCCCGGCAACGGUGCUAGAAAUUCUUCCUGCUACUUCUUGAGCUUGCGUUGAUUUUCCCUUGAAGAUGAAAGGGUAAAGCAGCAAAGUAGAGAUAAGUAUUUCCCGCAGUUAAGAACCAAGGUAUCAAUCCAGUAGGAGGAAUACACAAGCCUCCAAUAGAUGCACCUACACAAACUAACAAACACUUCCACACAACCCAAAAAAGGGGUUGUCAAUCCCUUCACGGUCACUAGCAAGAGUGAGAUCUGAUAGAGAUAGGUAUAAAAGAUAAGUAAAAGUAUAAAAUAAAGUAAAGAUAAAUAAAUAAAUUGCAGCAAGGUAUUUUUGGUUUUUGGUUUUAUAGAUGCGAACAUAAUAUGGUAAAAAUAGACCCAGGGGCCAUAGGUUUCACUAGAGGCUUCUCUCUUAAAGAAAUCAUAUAGUGGGUAAACAAAUUACUGUUGAGAAAUUGAUAGGAAAGCACAUAUUCAUGACGACAUCUGAGAAAAUGAUCAUGAAUGUAGGCAUCACGUCUGUGACAAGUAGACAGAUUCCUGCCUGCAUCUCCUACUAUUACUCCACACAACGACGGCUAUCCAACAUGCAUCUAGUGUAUUAAGGUAACAAGAAUAGAGUAAUGCCUUAAGCAAGAUGACAUAAAGUAGAUGGAUAGAUCUAAUAAAUAUGGUAAAACCCGAUCUUUUUAUCCUUAAUGUCAACAAUACAAAUACGUGCCUCGCUACCCCUACUGUCACUCGGUGAGGACACCGCAAGAUUGAACCCAUCACAAAGCACCUCUCCCAUUGCAAGAUAGGUCAAUCUAGUUGGCCAAACCAAAUCAAUAGAUUGAAGAGAAAUACAAAGCUAUCUUAAUCAUGCAUAAAAGAGUUCAGAGAAGACUCAAAUAAUAUUCAUAGAUAUUCUAAUCAUAAACCCACAAUUAAUCGGAUCUCAACAAAUGCACCGCAAAAGAAGAUUGUGCAAUACAUCGAAUCCUCGGUGUUCUUAGAGACCUUCAAUAUAAUACAUCGAAUAGAUCUUCAAGAACAUCGAGUAGAACAUUGUAUUGAUAAUAAAAGAGAGAGAAGAAGCCAUCUAGCUACUAGCUAUGGACCCUUAGGUCUGUGGUAAACUACUCACGCAUCAUCUGAAGGUCAACAAGGUUGGUGUAGAGGCCCUUCAUGCACCGCAAAAGAAGAUUACAUAAAAUAGAUCUCGAAGAACAUCAAGGAGAACAUUCACUACUGCAGCAUGCUGCUAACGCGACACUACAAUUAGAGACCCUUCGAUGAAACUAUGUGCGAUGCAAUAAUUGCAAACGAUGAUGUAAAAACCCGUCAAAAAUAUGAAAAACAUUUGCGAUGGCGGAUACAUCAAACACGGUUUGGAUUUUAGUUGCGUGUGCGAUGCGGGGCAUAUGGUUCAGUAUAAUGAACUUUUUCUAAUGAGGCAGAACAACAGAAAUGGGCAGCCAGAUGAAGAUUUAUGCGAUAUACGACAUACAGUUCACUCGGAUGAACUGUUUGCGAAUAGGCGAAACAAAAUAAAUGGCCAACCAGAUCAAGGUGUGUGCGAUAGAGGGAAAAUUGUUCACUCGGAUGAACUAUUUGCGUUGAGCCAAGAUAACAGAAAUGGUUUAAUUUAACAAGAUGUGUGUGAUAUGCAGCAAACAGUUCUGUAAUCAGAAAUGUGUGCGAAGACCGAUAAUAACACAGACGAUUGCUGCUAAUAAGACGUGUGUGUUGUGCGUUGGGAUUGUAUACAGAACAACAACAAUAUAUAUAUAUAUAACCAAAUUAAACAUCCAAUUACAUAGGCUACUAUACACAUGACAUUUCCACACAACUAUAUAUUACAUGCAUAAUUAACUAGGAUAAAAGAUCAUCUGAUCAUCAUCUACUUCCUGUGAUGCUUGCCGCUACUGCUCUGCUUGUGGCUCGAUCCGGCCUCGUCGAUUUCGGUAAUGAGGCACUUCCUCAUGUCAACGAUCCGCCAAUGCAUCUCGUAGCAUGUGUACAUGCCUUUGGCCACAAAACUGAUGUGAGGUUCAUCCAGUUGCUGCGUCCAGGCCCCGUGCCAGGAUACGAGAUUUGUUCUCUUGGCAUCCUCCUUCAUAUUUUCGUAAUAGGGGUCGAUGAUGGACGAGGAGAGUUAAACCAGGGAGUCCUUCUUCGUGCUGCCCCAGACCCUGUAGUGGUCACAGAUUUCGACAAGGUUCUUGCAGGCCAAGCCCGUAACCUUGAACGCCUUUACAUUCUUGCAGGUUUCCACCGUAGCGAACUUGUAGUCGGUGCUGUUGGCAAACCUGGCGAAAUGCUCACAAGGCUCUGUGGCCAUGCAAUAGUGGAAGAUGAGGACAUGAUGGUGCACGCAGAACUGGCCGAUGACAACCUUCUGAUAUUUGCCGGGAUGACCGCUGGUGUACUGGAGGUCGAUGUCGACCACCUUGUACUUGUCUCGAGCAAGCAAUCGCUCCACAGUGUUGAUGUAGUCCUCCACCACGGCUGGGUCGAUGGUGUACACCACCGAGAGAUCCGUCUCCCUCGCGUGGGUCUCAACUUUAUGCUCGCCGAACUCCAUUAGAGCACGGUUAGAUAUCCUCUCUGUAUGUGCCAUCGUGGGUGUGCUUGUUGUGUUGUGGGGCGAGAUUGAGAGGUUAAAGAGACUAAGGUUAUAAUGGCCGCAGGAAUUAAUGGGGAAGCCGGACGGCCUGGAAUAUCUGCACCCCCGGAUGGCUGUUCUAAUUUGUAGCACGUAACUCCAUCGUGUCGCACAUAACUACAUCGCAGCGACGCGCGUGAAGGAACCGCAUGCAUAUGGGGCCCCCAACGUGAUCGUGCGAAGGCCCCAACCGCUGGCAGAGCGCGCGCGUAGGGACGCUAGCAGAGCGCUCCACGGUCGCCUCAACGACGAGCAACCAUAUACUCCCUCCGUCCGGGAAAAGUUGUCACCAUGGCGUUUUUGCAAAAAAGACCUCCCCAAACUCCCGACAUAACCCACGCUCCUCGUCUUCUCCAGUCGUGUGCCCGCGGUCCUGGCGCAGCCGUGUAGCUCCACCUGAGCUCCCUUGUUCAGCUUUGGCGCACAACUACCCUGCUCUCCCGCACGUCCUCCACCGCCGCCGUAGCUGCCUCCUCCGCUGCUCCCUCCUGCCUCAUGAAGCUCCCCUCCCCCACUCGCCUGCCUCCAUAGCCCCCUUUCACCCUAAAAAUCCAUUUUUCUUCCUCUGUGGGCUUCUAUGACGUACUCUGGCUCUAGUGAGGCUCCGGUAAGUCUGUCCACUCUUCCUCACCCCAUUCCCUCUUCCUCACCCCAUCCUCUCUUCCUCACCGCAUCCUCUCUCCCUCCCAGACCCAGUAUGCAACUCGCUCGUGCGUUGGGAUGCAAUGACAUGGAGGACGCCGCUCCACCCCUGCUCUGCUCCAUGCCCUUGAUGCCAUGGAGGACGCUGCUCCACCCCUGCUUUGCUCCGUGCCCCCGAUGCCAUGGAGGACGCCGCUCCACCCUUGCUCCAUCCUGAAGGCAAUCGACCCCUGCUCCAGCCUGAAGGUGCUCCAUAUCUUAAUGUUUAAUGCUCUUGUUGCAUCAAGCUGCUACUCCAUGGAGUAUUUUAGAAUUUAAAACCAAGUUUUUUAAUUUCUAUUCUGUACUAUAGUCUCUCUGUUUUGUCAAUCUGCUGUAAUCAUUUAUGCUGUGGAGUUUGUAAGUUUUAAACAAAAUGAUUACUAGUGCAUCCAGGAAUCAUUUAAGUUUUAACCUUUGCAAAUUCUGAAUUUUGUUGUACUCACUGCGGUACUUCUGCUAUAUGAAGUAGUGUUGCUGACUAUAAUUAACUGAAUUUUACAAUAAUCAUCAGUGUAACAAAGAUUAGAUUCUACAAUACACAAUACUCAGUGUAAAUCUUCAAAAUGAAUUGUUGUUAGUAAGUGGUUAAAACACAAGAUCAGAUUUCUUAGGUUCUACAGUAUACAAGUUGAUAACAACGAUGAGAUUUCUUUGGUUGCACUACUCCCAUUUUUGCUCUGCUCCCAUUUUGAUUGCUCUGCUCCCAUUUUUGCUCACAAUUAUUCAGAAAAGGACUACUCCUAGUAACAAAACAGAUCAUUUACUGAAAAUAGCUCUACAUUUCUUCUUCUAAUGGUUGUUCCUGUAGCAAUAGCUCUACAUUUACUGAAAAUAAACUUGAUGUAGUGAAAAUAAACUUGGGCAUUGUUUAUUGAAAAUAAACUUGAUGUAUUGAAAAUAAACUUGGGCAUUUUUUACUGAAAAUAAACUUGAUGCCCCUCCACUUGUCAAGGUGAAGACUAGGGAAACUCAUGGAGAAAAGAAGACAAGGUCGAUGCCCCUCCACUUAGCACUUAGUUUGCACAAUGACACAAAUCUUUACAAAUUUGCAUUUACUAACCGACACUAUAUUUGGAAAGGUUCAUAACUGAAUUUUCUGUACAGUAGUGCAUCUAGGAAUCAUUUAAGCUCUCCUGCUGUAUGAAGUGGUGAGUGAGCCAUCCAUAUAAGUUGUUCCAUGUGUUCCAAAUAGGUGAUCGAGCCAUCCAUCGAAUCAUUUAUGAUCAUAUAGAAGUUGUUCCCCGUGUUCCAAUAGGUGAGUGAGCCAUCCAUCGAAUUGCCCGCAAAAAUCAAAAUGUAACUAGGAUACCACUAUAUAUCUAGUGUAGAAUCUUGUAAACUAAAUAUUUAGUGUAGAAUCUUGAAAACUGAAUUUAUGGCAGAAUUAGUUGAAAACUGAACUUAUUGUUACUAUAAUUUAGUUACCAAUUUACGACAUUAUUCCAGCAUUCGCUUAUGUUGCGCAUUUUCAUCAACAAACAAAAAUAAAUCCAAAUAUUCCAAAUAAAUCAAAUGAAUCCCAAUGAAUCCAAAUACUACUAUCCUUUCUCAUUGAACACAUGACACAAUACAUACACAUGACACAAGACAUACACAUGACACAUGACACAUCACAUACUCCUAUCCUUUAUUUUCCUUUUCCCUUUCCCUUUCUUCUUCCCUUUCUCUAUCUACUCAUUUCCUUGUUCUAUAAUGGCCUUGGUGUCAGUAAUUAGCUUAGAACUACAAUAUACACCGAUUAUUUCCUCUCCAGCAUUCUGUAGACGUUCCUUAUGCAGAUGUAGCAUCUUGUAGUUGUUUCUUCCUUGAUAUUUCAUCACUUCGACCAUCGCUGCUUACAACAUCAUAAAGCUUUUGAACAGCUCACUGGUACGCGUCGGUGCUAUACAAAUGGUUUUUAACCCCUUUCCGCGAUGACAUUUGGAACCGGCGCCUAGUGAGUGACUGCGAUAGGGGGUCCUUCCCACACGACCUAGAAACCAUCGGGGAUAGGAAGCCUUGAUGCAUAUAGUUGUCCCUAUAUAACCGUUUCCGAUAUCUCAAAUAUCCCAAACGCUUCAUCCUUGCUACUCGUCUGUGCUUGCAUUGCCAUCACAGUCAGAGUUUUGUGGUUUUACCUCAAACAGGCAGAUUCCAGGCACGGGAGUUUUACGAUGCCUGGCACAUCACAAACAGUACAUGAUUAUAAACCCUGUACGAUAGGUAGACAAUCACACACAUUUAGUUUUCCCACACCGUAUGUGAUAGUGUCUGACAUCACACACGCUUUGCAAACGGCAACUGUGUGCAUUGUUACACACGUUUCCUCUCCGUGAACCGUGUCGGAUUAUGAUGUAUAUCGCACACGCUGUGCUUUAUUAACCUUGUUCGCCGUAAUGACCUACACACCGUAAUUUUUCCCUAAUUUAAUUGCUGCUAUUUAAAAUUGUACCUAAUUUAAACUUGAAAGUAGGCUAUAGCUUUAUUCAUAUCCAUCAGGUUCAAACAACCAAUGCAAUAUUCGAUUCAUAUGUACAUAUGUUUAAGAAUUACAGAAGAACCAAAUAAAGAAUGAUGAACCAGGGUUGUAUACUUGUACUAUUACAUAUGGUAAAGAAAGAGCAGACAUACAUUCCGGUUGCUGAACAAGGUGAAGCGGAAUGGCCCUAUUGUGCUCUCCUAGAUGCAGAAGGCAUGCAGGACUCUAGUCCAACCCCUUGUGAUAGCCGUCCGCCAAUCAUGUAGUUUGAGAGAUAAUCUUGAGUAAACUGCGUCAGGAUCCACUGCAAAAGAAAAAAGAUUCAGACAUUGUCAUCUAACACAACUCAUUACGAGCAGUAAAAAGAAGGCUAUAGGAUUCUUACUUACUAUCCCGCAGUUCACUAUUGUCUUGCAUAAAGUGUAAACAAAUAGUUCGAUUGACAUAUUUUGACCCAUUUUAUUAACAAUCUUUAUCAGUUUCCUCACUUGAUGCUGGUUCAUGAACAUCUCAUUGCUCCAUACGCAGAAAGGGUCGAAGUGUGGAUCUUUGGCAAUGAUAUAUGUACCUAAAAUCACCAAGUUAAUAUUAGAAGCUAAACAACAAUUGAAAAAUGAUGUAAUACAACACUCCCUCCAUCCCAUUAUAUAAGAUUUUAUUACACGUAUAUCUAGACAUCAUUAGAACAUUAAGGUAACACUCUUCCUUGUUGCUAUGUAGCCUGAGAUUGCAUAUUUAGUCAUUCAGUACAAUGCAUGUUGCUAUGUAACCUCAGAUAUAUUAAAUAUGGCCCUAGUUAACCUACUGAUAAAUGGGUUACAGAUAUAUUCAGUAAAAUGUCUGAUUCGACGAUUAAUCCCUUAUCAACCACAGGUUAUAUGGUACCAGCUACCGAUAUCCUGAAUAGUGAGUACAUAUAAGCAAUGCGAUGAAACUAACCUCGAUGGAAAACAACACUGUUCUCAGUAUUGUCCUGUAUGAGUACAUAUAAAGGCAUGUUAAGCACAACAGGCUAAACAUCAACCGAAUAUAUCCAUGGUAGACAACAUAAUCUACAAAUGAUAGCUUCAGUGUGGAGGCUUACGCAUGCUAGUUAAGCAAAACAAGAAGUGGAAUGGUGUGUUAACUGCAUCAGGCAUAACAUUUAAAAACAAGCAAAUAGUCAUUAUUGUGCAGGUCUAUAGUACACUAGUUAUUGUUAAAAAACGGAAAGGCAUGUUAACUGCAAUAUCCUUAACAGCAACCAAAUAUCGUAAUUCAUAGUGGUAUUGUUGAAACUGUUAUUGAUGAAAUUGAACUGCACUGCAAAUAGUUGCACCUAUAGAGCAUCACAUUGUGAAGAACUGAAAUAAACAAUUCAUAAGGCCAUCUCUAGCCGAUCCUUAAAAAGUUAAAGGACUAAAACGCUUAGUGGAUAUAUAUAUACUCCAGCAAUUUUUUGCCUUUUCUAGUCGAUCCCCUAAACUUAAGGUUGUAAACUUCAAUUUGAUCAAGUUCAAAGCAGGUUCAACCGAAAGUAGCAUGCAUUCAAACAUAAACAUAGAUAGUUUUGCACAACUGGACAUAAAACAUAAAUUUAAACUAAGCUAAACUACUUUCGAUCGAAGUAGAGGUCGAGCCAAUCCUUCCUCAUCAUGUACGGUGUGCUGCGAGCCAGGUCUGGGCCGGUGCUGUCCUCAGGGUUGUUGGGGAAGGCACUCCUCCACUCAUCGACGUCGAUCUCCUCAUCCUCAGGGCCCACCUCGACACCCUCCACGUCGCCGUCGCCGCUGCCUUCGACCUCGUCAUCGGAGGAGAGCGCGGUAACCUCGCCGCCCUCCGUGCCAUCGUCCUCGCCGCCUUCGACCUCAUAAUCGAAGGAGAGCGCGAUAACCUCGCCGCCCUCCAUGCUAGCAAAGAUCGCCCGCUCCAUCUCCACAAGCUCCGGGUGCUUCCGGCGGAGCUCUUGCAUGUAGGCCUCGUCGCCGGCCUCAACCUCGAGGUCCUCCCAUGCCUAGUGGUCCUCUUGCUCCAUAGCCAAGCUCACCACCCCUGGCUCCUGCGGAACGAGGUCGACUGGACAUGUGCCGAAGGGUAAAUUGAGCCUGGAUGCCGCGCCGUGGUAACGGACCUGCCAACGGUCAUACUCCAUGGUCGCGAGCUUGGCCGUGUGGAAGCUACCGAGCCAUUGGCGGGUGUGGGUCCCCUGAUUUGUAAUCUAGGCGACCCACGUCCCCCACCACUGCUGUCGGACCCCGAGGUAGGACCUCGUCGGCUGCCGGGUCUGAGGGAGGAUGGCCACUAGUAAAAAAAGGCCCAUUUGUCUCGGUUCCAGAGGCCCAUUUGUCCCGGUUCUGGAACCAGGACUAAAGGGUCAGGACUAAAGCCCAUGACCUUUAGUCCCGGUUCGCUUAUGAACCGAGACAGGUGGGGCUCCAUGUGGCCGCUGCGGCGAGCCCAGGCAGGAGGGCCUUUGGUCCCGGUUGGCAAGACCAACCGGGACCAAAAAGCAUCCAAGUGUUAGCAGCUCAGGGGAUGGGGUUUUUGUUUUUUUGAAGGGGGUUUGGGGGAUUUGUAGGGUUAAUUUAGGGGUUUCAUAUAUUGUGUUAGCUAGAUAAUAGAGAGAAGUGACCUCUCUUAUCUCCGUGCUUGGUCGAUGCUACAGACUAUACGUAUAGAGAGAACUCGCGACACGCUAGCUAGUAAGCAAAUGAAGGAAACCAUUACGUACACAAGAUCAUCAUGAACAUAUACAUAUAGAAGUGAUCGACCUCCUCCUUCUCCGAGAGAUUGAUCGAACAACAAGUUUUCAUAUAUCUAUCCGAUGCUACUAGCUACAUAUAUACAAUAUAAGAUCUUUUACAAUCCCUAACAUCUGAAGUCAAGUGCCACAUGGUAUUCUGUGGCUUUAUUGAUGACGUGGUCAAGAAAGAAUCCUGCAAUUUCCUCUUGAAUUGCUUUUAUGCGAUCAUGUGGUAGGAGUUCAUCCCGCAUCUGCCAGAUCUAAAUUGAAGAAGAGGGUCAAUACAUGUGUAUGAAUGAAACUCAACACAAAUGAUGGUAAUAAAAUAAAAUUGUGAAUAUUUUUGCUUACGCACUUCAUAUUGUUUUUCAGAGUAGGCCCGCUUAUUAGAAGUCAUUGCAUUAUAGAUGAACUCGCAAACGUAGUAUCCACAGAAAUCAUUCCCGGCUUCCUGCCACAAGCACUUUACGAGAAAUAGAGGUCAAUCAAACUGAUAAGCAGGCAUGCUAAAUGGUAUUGAUGAAACUAGCUAGAACAAAUGGGAGAUGCGUGGAACUAGGUAGUAGUACUUACUUUCGGGUGUUUAAAUCGCAGCUCGAUCGGCAAUCCCAAAGAAAUUGUGGUGAACUCUUUCCAAACCCUGCCAGACAAAAAAAAUAAUUACUUGAUAUCAGGAAAUGAACAAAGUUGCCAAUAUGGUGCGAUAAUGAUCGUUUGAACUUACUCUCGAGCAUUCGAGUCAUGUCCGCAUACUCCUCGGGAUCUUUUCGUCUGGAGUCUAAGACGGUUACUUCUCCCCGCUCAAGCUUAAUCUCUAAGAGAAUAAAGUGGAACAUGCGCAUGCAUGCAUAACUCAUUAGUUACAUUACUAUAACCUCAAGUACUAAGGGAAACCGAAUGUGCACAAGACAGUAACACUCACUUGAAGUUGUAAGGAAAGAGUAUUUUAUCAUUGCUUUCAUUUUUGAGAAACGAUUGUAGCAAGUUGUCCUCGGUUUCUGGGACAUUGUGUUUAACCAUCCAUUCAUGUAUGACAUUUGGGUUAAUGAACCCAAUGUCAUAGAUUUGUGCUUUUCUCCAUUCGACGAUCUUCAAUCUGCAUAAUAUACUGAUGAUAAUUAUAUAUACAUGCAAUGAAAGAGCUGAUCUAUAUAUAGAGACUUAAUUACCGAAAGUAGUACUUACAGAUAGUAGCAAGCUACGAGUGAUUUGUCGAGGGCCUUUUGAUUGUAGAACUGGAAAAACUCAUCAAAAUCAACAGUUAACAGUUCUUGUCCAAUGAAGUCGUGGUCCUCUUUAAUUCUCAUCGUCAAAGCAUCCUUCCCAGACUGGUUGCAGGUUUUCAUGUACCAUUGAUGUAAUCUUCACAUCAUCGUUGUUAGAGGAGGACUUCAUCUUUGACGAGAGGGUUCCCGUACUGGUAUCUGAAUUUGUCUGCCUCCAUUGUAUCAAAAUGUACAUCGUCGGGCAGGUAAUCACCAGGAUUAGUACCGGACAGCAUCCGUGGCAGAUUUGUGAUGAUAUUGCUAGACACCUUGAGUGGGGGGCAUGAUUGGUUCUCCUGUUCUCCCAGAUAGGAAAAUUUUCCCACUUUUUCAUUCUGCUAACUUUUUGUCACUUGAAGUAGUUCCCGACUAGCGCGCAUCUUCUAGUGUCUUUUUAAGAUGGCGGACAUGGUUGUCAUCUGACGAAGGCGGUGGUGGUCGCUUCAGGGCAUUGAUAGUGUGCUUCGCUUUCACCGGAUCUAUCUUCUCCUCCAGAGGUGGAUGUUUCAUAGCUCUUCGCGUUUCAAAGAAGUCCUUCACUUGGGCUUCACAAAUCUUCGUGUUUUCCUCCAUGGUCAUCUCGUAUGGUAACUUCUGUAGAGGCUUGAGAGAUGGACCAAAUUUGUAUUGCCUCCCGCCUCUAGCUGUACUGCUAUAUGCCGGAGCGGCGGCAUCUCACUUCCGUUGCGGCUAACGACUAGUAGAAGGAGGCAGAGUGCUCCAAUGCGCCGGAGCAGCCAGAGCGGCGGCUUCUGUCUUCAACCGUUGCUGACGAGGCGCAGGAGGAGGCAGGCUGCUCGGACGCGCCAAAGCAGGCAGAGAAGGAGGCAGAGUGCCUCCCUCACGCACCGGAGCGGUUGGAGAAGGAUACAGAGUUCCCUGAUCACUCGCCGGAGGAGGAGGAGGAGGCGAAGUGCCCGGACUCGCCGGAGGAGGAGGAGGAGGCAGGGCCGUCUAGUUCGGAAGCUUGAUGUGCUCCUUCCGCCAGGGACAUGGAGUCUUCAGAGCAAGCAGGUCAUUCUCAGCCAUGUCCCACAACGGUCGGGCUUUGAGGUAGCCACCUGACCCCGUGUGAUGGUGAUACAGCUUCUUUGCAGCAUUGUUCUUAUUUGUCUCUGACAUCUUCUUACUCCCAUCCGAUGUCUUGUAGGCCAGAAAUGCGGGCCAGUGAUCUCUUAUCUUCUCAAAUCAGCCGGUGAAUUCUGGAGUCUUCCCUUUGUUGACAUACUCAACUCAUUCUUCCACCUCCUGAAUAGAUCUUCCAUCUUCUUAAGAGCAUGAGCCUUGACCAAUGGCUCUAUAACUGGUUUAUCCGGAUCCUCCUCUGGCGGUAGGGUGAAAUUUGCCUUCAGCGCGGUCCAAAGAUCAUCUUUCUUUCUAUCGUUGACAUAAGGAACUUGAGGGUCUUCGUUCUUAGGCUUAUUCCAUUGCUGGAUGCUGGUCGGGAUCAUGUCCCUAACAAUAGCCCCGCACUGAGCAGAAAAUGCUUCCUUGGUCCGCCUGGGUUCAAUCGGUUGGCCAUCUUCAUCGAUUGUUGUGAUCGCUAACCUUUCAUCAUGGUGCAACCUUUUCUUCGGGCCUCGUCUCGUUACCGAAGUUUGGCUCAAUCCGGAGGGCUAGAAAAGAAGAAAGAAGAGUUCAUAUGUGUACAUACCAAAACAAUUAAUGCUUUAAUUAGCUAGUCAGCACAGGCUUAAUUAAUAUAUAUACCUUGCCGUACUUUGCAACAGCUUCCUCCUCCGUUCGGUCACCAGAGCCGUCAUCACGGUCUCCUUCUUCCACUGGCAUUCGGUCACCGGAUCCAUCACGAUCAUGUCCUUCAUCCUCCAUUGUUCCAUCACCGGAGCCUGCUUCACCCUCUCCUUCCAGACCAUCGGUGUCGUUGAGAUACGACAAGAUAUCAUCUCCGCCGAGGAUUAUGUCCCCCAACAACUGGUAUGUUUCCAAGUCUUUGUGCUCCAUAGUUUCUGCAAAUAUUACAACAUGGCAAUUAAUAUACAAACAUGACAGAUGGAUAUAUUAGUGGCAAACAUAGACCUAGCUAGCUAAUCACAACAAGGAAUAUUAAUUAGUGGCCUUGACGCUUCUAUGGUUUGGGGUGGCCUUGACAACGCUUCUAGGGUUUGGGGUGGCCUCGGCAAUGCUUCUAGGGUUGGGGUGUCCUCGCCACUUCUAGGGUUUGGGGCGGCCUCGCGGCAACACUUCUAGGGUUUGGGCCGGAUCGCCUCUCUCAUGAAUGUCCGAUGUCCCGACUGACAAGGGAUUUAACAAAAUGGCGCCAUUCUGGAUAUGCAAAAAGUGGUCCCUAUUUUUCUUGAUCUCAUCUACCCUUCUAUAUGUCACGUUGUCUAGUGUCAAAGGAUUCAAGAAAACCAUGGCUUCAUCCCUAGCCAGAAGUAACAGACGCAUGAUGGUAUGAAGCUCUCCAAAGUUAUUUUGGAACGGAGUCCUGAUAGGAUAAUUCGAUUUUUGGUACGAAGUUUAGCAAGAGCCUUUCGAAUAUCGCUAUUUGGAAGGCCUUCGCUGAACUUCGUACCAAAAAGCAAAUUAUCUUAUCAGGACUCCGUUCCAAAAUAAUUUUGGAGAGCUUCAUACCAUCAUGCGCAUGUUACUUCCGGCUAAUUAUGAAACCAUGGAUUUCUUCAAUACUUUGACACAAGAGAACAUGCACAUGUAGAAGCAUAGCUGAGAUCAGAAAAUAUGGAUCAACUUAAUUAUGCACAUCCAUAAUGGGGGCAUUCUUGAUAAAUCUCUUAUAAAUCUCGAGAGAGUUUGUUGGGUAGGGGCGGGAGGGGGUAGGAGAUCGACAACGUUUUUUUCUAGGGUUUGGGUGUCCUCGAGAGUUGGUCGAGCGAGAGGGGGCUGAUCGACGUCCCCUUCUCGAUCCCUCGGCGAUCCUCGACCCUCGACUCCUUGACGACCCUCGACCCUCUACCCUAGUUCCCGACCCUCGACCGCUUGGCGAUCCUCGACACCCUCAUCCCCGAUUAUUCUAUUUUUUCUUCUUAUCCUCUAUUCCUUCUUCUUCUCCUCUUUUUUUAUUCUAUUUUUUUAUUAUCCUCUAUUCCUUCUUCUUCUCCUCUUUUUUUCUUCUUCUUCCUCUUCUUAUUUUUUUCUCCUCUUCUUCUCUUCUUCUUCUCCUUCUUCCUCUUCUUAUUUUCCUUUUUCCUCUCCUUCUUUUUCUUCCUUCUUCCUCUUUUCCAUACGUAUAAAAACUUUAAAAAAGUUCUCUUCCAUCUCAUCUCAUCUCGAUGAAACAUCUACCUAUCACAUAUAAAAAAUAGAGCACAUGUAAAUAUUUCAAACAUCAUGCAUAUUACAAUUAAAAAAUACAUACANNNNNNNNNNNNNNNNNNNNNNNNNNNNNNNNNNNNNNNNNNNNNNNNNNNNNNNNNNNNNNNNNNNNNNNNNNNNNNNNNNNNNNNNNNNNNNNNNNNNNNNNNNNNNNNNNNNNNNNNNNNNNNNNNNNNNNNNNNNNNNNNNNNNNNNNNNNNNNNNNNNNNNNNNNNNNNNNNNNNNNNNNNNNNNNNNNNNNNNNNNNNNNNNNNNNNNNNNNNNNNNNNNNNNNNNNNNNNNNNNNNNNNNNNNNNNNNNNNNNNNNNNNNNNNNNNNNNNNNNNNNNNNNNNNNNNNNNNNNNNNNNNNNNNNNNNNNNNNNNNNNNNNNNNNNNNNNNNNNNNNNNNNNNNNNNNNNNNNNNNNNNNNNNNNNNNNNNNNNNNNNNNNNNNNNNNNNNNNNNNNNNNNNNNNNNNNNNNNNNNNNNNNNNGGGCAGGCAAGGGCGCAUGGCGGGUGGCGUCGGGGCGGGCAGGGGCGCGGGGAGCGGCGCCGAGGUCGGGGCAGAGGGCGUCGGAGGCGGCGGCGGUGAAGGCGCGAUGGAGCAGCCUGACGGCAUCGGCGAUGACGCGGUGGAGCAGCUUGAUGGCAUCGGGGCAGGGCUAGGCAGCGACGGCGACGAGGAGCAUCUGGGGGCUCGGGGCGGAGAAAGAAGUGAUUUCUGCAGAAACUGCUAAGUGCUUUCUUAUAUACACGAAGCAUUGAUCCCGGUUCGUGCCACCAACCAGGACCAAAGGUCUCUUUUCAGCAGCCCAAAGAGCGGGUAAAGGAGACCUUUGGUCUCGGUUGGUGGCACCAACCGGGACUAAAGGCGGGCAUUGGUCCCGGUUGGUGCCACGAACUGGGACCAAAGGCACCCUUUCAUCCCGGUUCGAGCCAUGAACCGGGACCAAAGGCCUUGUGCUGGAACUAGCGCGGUGCGGUGGGAUGUUUAGUCCCACCUCGCUAGCCAGGAGGCUUCGACAAUGGUUUAUAAGCGCGGCUGCGCUGACCACUUCGAGCUCCUCUCAAAUGCAGGUUUACGGCCCUAAAGUGGCUUUAUCUGUCUGUGGGUCUACUGGGCCUUCUGCGGGGCUGAAUCCUGGCCCAUGGUUGGGUUUCUAGUCGUAUUCAGGCCGUGGUGGCCCAGUAGGUGGCAUUUUUUUAUUUUUUAUUUCCAGUUUUUUGUUUUGCUUUUUGCUUUAUUUAUUUUCUUUUGUUUCUACUUACAGUUUUUCAGUGAUUCUUUUUUCUUUUAGGUCAUGAGAAUUACAAACUUUUUGUUAGUGCCAUUAGUUUUCCAAUUUGAAUAGUUUAAAUUUGAUUUUUUUGAAAUUUAUGUGAAUCACUAGUUUGUGAAUAACUUUACUAUAAAAAUAGAUUUUUGAGUGAUUCUUUUUCCUGCUAUUUAAUAUUACUGUGUUUUAUCAUUAUAUUCAAUUUGGUAAUUUUUAGGUUAUCUGAAAUNNNNNNNNNNNNNNNNNNNNNNNNNNNNNNNNNNNNNNNNNNNNNNNNNNNNNNNNNNNNNNNNNNNNNNNNNNNNNNNNNNNNNNNNNNNNNNNNNNNNNNNNNNNNNNNNNNNNNNNNNNNNNNNNNNNNNNNNNNNNNNNNNNNNNNNNNNNNNNNNNNNNNNNNNNNNNNNNNNNNNNNNNNNNNNNNNNNNNNNNNNNNNNNNNNNNNNNNNNNNNNNNNNNNNNNNNNNNNNNNNNAUCUGAAAUGUCUGUAUUAAUCAAAAACAAAUUUUAUUAUUUUAGUUUGCUAUUAAAGUUUCAAACAAAAUAUUUCUUUAUGAAAAUUCUUUUUGCUAUUAAUGUUUUAAGCAAAAAAUACUUUUCUAAUUUUAGUUGCAUAAAUUUAAUAUAAUUUUAGUUUAAAAAAUACUAGAGGUUUAUAAAAGCUUUUUAGUUGAUUCCUUUUGCUAUUAGAGUUUCAUUAAAGUUUUCUAGUUCAUUCUUUUUGCUAUUAGAGUUUCAUUAAAGUUUUCUGAUUCAUUCUUUUAGUUCAUUAUUUUUGCUAUUAGAGUUUCAUAAAAAAUUUCUAGUUCAUUCUUUUUUAUAUUAGUUCAUUUUUUGAGCUAAAUGACCCUGAAAUUGAAAAGCACUUCAAAUGAACUCUAAAGAGGUUGAAAAUUGGCAUGGUAUGAUCAUUUCAGCCACAUAGCAUGUGGUAAAAAGUUGGCAGGGUUACGGCAAAAUCAGGAUGCACUUCAUGUACAAAAUCGACAAUCUCUUUCAAAGUAUCAGGGUUUCAAACGAAAACUCAUCUGUUACAAAGGGAUUUCAUUGUUUUAACUUAUUUGAACUCUAGACUUUUUGUGUGUUCAAAGUGCACCAUUCAAAUCCACAUCAUUAAUUUUCAACCCUUUCGGACUUCAUUUGUUAUUUUUCUUGCGUUUACUGAUUUUUUUGAGCUAUAUGACCCUGAAAUUGAAAAGCACUGCAAAUUAACUCUGAAAAGGUUGAAAGUUGGCAUAAUAUCAUCAUUUCACCCACAUAGCAUGUGCUAGAAAGUAGAGAGGGUUACAGCAAAAACUGGAUGCACUUCGUGUACAAAAUGGACAAUCUCUUUCGAAGUAUAAAUGUUUCAGACGAAAACUCAUCUGUUACAAAGGGAUUUCAUUUUUUUGAACUUACUAGCAAAAAUGCCCGUGCGUUGCAACGGGAGAAGGUCACACAACCCACCCAAAGACCUUGUUUCAUUUGAGGCAAAAGUUGCAGUGCUUUCUACAAUAAUAUUAGUCAUGUCCACCUUGCUAAGCCUAGACAACGCGAAAUAUAAAUUCAUACAAAAAAAUCAAAGGUUAUUCAUUUACAGGAAAUUAAUAUGAAUUUUGUAGCGUCUCUACAAAGAGCAGUUGACAUAUUUACAUUGUAUGUGCCGGGUGGUAGGUGCGACAUAUGCCAACGGAUGGCUUAUCAUUGUGGGAGCCAGUAAGACAUCGCCGGUGCCUGGAAACGGGAUGAGGCGAAGACAUGCACGCCGGAGGAUCUUACCCAGGUUGGGGGCUCUCCGUGGAGAUAAUACCCCUACUCCUGCUCUGCGGGGUCUCCGCAUGAUCACUAGAUUGAUAAGAAGCUACAAGAGGCUCCUUGAGCUGUUCGGUGGAAGGAGGAAGAAGGGCAAGGCUAGCUCUCUCCGCUCCCUAUAGUGGUGUCUAGAACUCUAUAUGAUCAACCCUUUGCAUGGGUGCCCCGGGGGGUUUAUAUAGGCCUACCCCCCGGGGGUACAAUGGUAAUCCGGCUAGGCGCGGGCCCUAACCGUCAGUGUCUAUGGCCGCUGGCUUCUCCGCCGGCCGCUGGGGCCCGCCGACUGGUGGGUCCCGCAGGCUGCCGGCUCAUUGGACGACAGGCCGGCCCCACCGCUUGGGGGUCUUGUCGGGGGCUGGUUAUUGUUGCCUUGCCUCUGAUGACGAGGGCUUUGUCGAGGUAAGCAUGGCUACAGUGCUGCAGCCUUGCGGGCUCUCACAGUAGCCUUACCUUGUCUUGUCUCCUUAAUGGUGCGCGCGCCCCGAGGAGGGGAGAAAGCCGGCCAUAGGAAGCCGGCCAUGCCUCAGGCCGGCUGGGGAAGGCCAGACCGCCUUCGUGCGUCUCUCUGACCGAAGGGGCCCGCCGCCUGCGGGCCGUACUGGCAGCCCGCCGUGGAGGGCGUCAUGAUCAACAUGGCAACAGUGCCACGCCGGACGGGUGAUGGUUGUCCCGUACAGCGUACUGUAGCCAUGCGUGCUCUGGGAUUUGGGGGUGGCAGGGUCCACUAUUGCCACGCCCCGUCCCAUCAUCGUUAUGGGGGUGCAGACUUUUAGGGCACGGCCCCUGGCCGCCUGCCAGGGGCCGGCCUCUUGGAGUCGGUCUUUCCGUGGCCGGCUUCUUGGAGUCGGCCCUAUCGUGGCGUCCUCCAAGAGAGUUUAGGGCCGGGCCGCCUUCCGGUAGCCGGCCUGUGAGACACCCGGCCGGAGGAAGGCGGGCCCGCGUCUUGGGUGCUUCGAGGCUCGGUCAGCCUAUUGUUUUUCUAAGGGCCAAAAGGAGUCGGCUAGGCUACCCGUGGUCAUUUACUCCGACAGUAGUCCCCGAAGCUGGUUGGGCUUCGCGGCUGAAAGGGGAAUCGUGAAGCUCAGCCAGCUUCCUAUCCCGAAGAGCUGGCAGCUAGGAGUCGGCUUCUCUCAUGCGUGCCUUCUCGGCGAGGUCUCUUCGAAAUCUGAAGGCGGGAACCAGCUGGCGCGCUAGCCAGGCAGCGGGCUGGCCGCUUGUCGCCCGCGCACCACAUGGCACCCUUCGGCUAGAAGGGCCUGCCAGCCCACGCGCGUGACGGGACGCCGCCGCAGGCCGGGGCCCGCCACUUCCACACCUCGGCCCGAACCGACCGCACGUCUUCCGACGGCGGUUCCCACUCACCGUAAAGGCGCAAUAAUCGCGGGACGUGGGGGAAUGGGCGCAGUUAAUCCCACGCCCCCCCGCGCCUCGCCUCCUCGGCUUCGCCGCACGAGGCUAUAAGUAGGGGUGGGGAGGGGGAGCGGCAGUCAUUCGCACGCUCGCCCUCGCUCCGCCACCACCUUCUUCUUCCUCUCCAUCGCCGCAGCAGCUCUCUGCGACGCCACCGUUCCACCAUUCUUCUUGGCGUGCCGCGAUCUUGCUGCCACCGCACCACGCGCUCUCUGUCGUCGUGCCUUCCGUCGCCCUCGCGUCGCCAUGGCUUCGACGUCGAGCUCCUAGGACGGCUCUAAUGUCCGCGAUGACCACAUCGACUUCCUCCGCAAGACGCGGUGGUUGCCGGGCGAAGAUCUCGUGCGGGUCCGCCUCAUGCUGGCGAGGGAGGUUUCGCCGGUGCCGGAGGAGGGCGAGCGAGUGAUCUUCUACUCGCACUGCCUAUGCAGCGUCGGCCUUCCCACGAGCGGCUUCUUCCGAUUGUUUCUUGAUUUCUACCAUCUUUAGCCGCACCACCUCACUCCCAACACGGUGGUGCUGCUGUCGGCCUUCGUCACCCUAUGCGAAGGUUUCCUCGGCGUCCUCCCCACCAUCAAACUCUGGGGGGAGUCCUUCCAGGCCAAGCUCGAUAUGGUCGUUGCGGGUGUGCCGGCUCCAUGCGGCGCCUUCAUCGCCAUCCGGAGAUCGGCAGCCGACAACCUGUUUCCGCCCAUCGCGCUGAUCCAGUCGGUGAAGCUCUGGAAGAAAUCCCAUUUUUAUGUGAAGAACGUCGCUCCGUACGGCGACUAUGUUAACUUGCUGGCUUACGUAGCCGGCCCGCCGCCUGGGAGGCAGCCCUCGUGGUCCUUCCGGGCCAGGUUGCUGACGCCGGCCGAGGCUGGAGCCAUCGCCCGGCUUCGGGUGCUGAUCCAGUCGGAGCGCCUGACUGGGUCCGACCUGAUUGCCGCCUUCAUCGAGCGCCGAGUACUCCCGCUCCAAGGCCGCCCUCAUCUGAUCUGCCAGAUGUGUGGCCGCUUCGACCCAAGCCGGCUGAGCACCAAAGAGAUGCCUCACGACAAGGUAUCUUAUAUGGUGAACUACAUCGCCAACUGCAAGCUCACCGAGGAGUGGCAGUAUGGCAAGGAGCCGUACUCUCGCGCCAACCCCCCGCCUAUGGUAAGCUUUCCUUCUUUCCUUCUUCUUUUGUUGCCGAGUUCUUUCUGGCCGGCUUCUGACCAGUCGGCUUGUUUCUAAUCAGAACCCCCUUCUUCAUCCUUCGGCCGGGACUGCAGGGCCGUAACGCGAGUUCGCCCCCGACCGCGUGGCGGAUGAUCUUGACGACCACGACUUGGGGGCGGCCGCUUUAGAUGACGACACUGUGGGGGGAGGCGGCGAUGCAGGCGGCUCCGGGUUCACCACCGGUUUUGAUGACUGCCCUGACGAUGACGAGGCCGAGCCCAUUCCACGCCGCCAGCCGGCAUCCAACCAUCAAGGCGCCGGCCCUUCCGGUGGGCCGGCUGCACAGGGCGGCGCCCAGAAACGCCGGGCGGCACCGACUCUCUUCGGCGGACGGCCAAAGAAGCCCAAGGGUUCCGCGAUGGUGACCAAGCGGGACGAGGCGGCCAUGAAGGCGGCCCGCUUCCGCAAGGUGGUGAAGCAACCGCAGGCGGUUUCGGCGUAAGUAUCGACUCUCACACGCCUUUCUUUCUUUUCUUCAGUCGGCGCUCUUCUAAGUCUUUCCUUGUUUUAACAACCAGGGCUCCGCUCUCUCUUGAGCGGACUACCGCCGCCUCCAUAGUCGGCGGGGCGGGAGGAUCCGCAAGUUCCCGCCGCGUAGACCCUCGCGCUGAGCUCCAAGCGGCGACGGAGCGGAACGCACGGGAGGUGCGGGAGGAGCGGGAGGCGGAGGAGCAGCCGCCACCGAGGCGGCUCAGGAGACGACGACGGAGUCGGCCGAGGCGCAGGCCGACGCGGCGGCCAAGGCCUAGGCAGAGGCCAAGGCCGUAGAGAGGGCGGAGGAGGCCCUGCAUAGCCAGCCUCCGCAACUCGUCAUCACCCUCCGCACCGUGGCCCCCGAAAUCCUGGUGCCCCCGCCGAAGGAAGCCGGCCGCGACCCGCCGAUGAUGGAGAGGGAGGGGGACGACGUAGUCAUCCCGGAGGGAGAGGUGGUGCCACCUACGUCGGCCGGAACAGGCCAAGGCGGCCAGCCCGAGGCGCCGCCUGAGCAGUCGGCUGGAGGCGAGCCGACUGCAAGGGUGGAUCUUGUGGUCUUGUCGCUGACUCACCGGCGCACGGGGAGGGCGGCUUUAGAGCCGGACCCGCAGAGGGCCGUGGGCUCCAGCUCGUUGUCCCAUGACCUAGAGACGGCCAACAUCAGCUCGCCAGGGUGGACACCGGGCGGCGGGACAGCCGCACUGAAUCUAGCAGCGCAGGAUGUCCGUACCCGGCUUCAGGCUCAGGCCACCGCGCUGAAGCAGUGCACCCGAGAGUUUCUCACAACGCGGUCGGUCAUUCGGGUGAGUUUUCUUGCUCUUGAUUUCUUCCGUGGGGGCGCGUCAGCGCACCCACUGGGUCUAGUCCCCGGGUUCCAAGUCGACUGCUGAGCAGGCGGCUUGGAACUUCUCAGAAGACUCUAAUUUAAUGAUUUGCUCUUGCUCGCACCUUCGUCCUAUUUGUAGGAUUAUCACAACCUCCUAUUUGUAGGAUUAUCACAACCUCCACGCCACUACCUUCAAUUCCCAGGCCCGGGAGAUGAAUCAGAAGGCCGCCGAUCUGACGGAGAGCUGGUGUGAGUGCAUUGGCUUUUUAUCUCAUGUGGGGGCGCGUCAGCGCACCCACUAGGUGUAGUCCCCGAGAUUCGGGCCGACUGCUGAGCAGUCGGGUCAGAUCUUUCCCGACGACUUCUUCCUUAACUUCUUCUUCUCCAUAUUGGCAGGAGCCAAUGCCGACUUGAGGCAGCAGCUAGGCGUGGCCUAGACCGCCCUUCGCACCAGGGAGGGCGAGUUCAAUGCCUUGGUUCAGGAGCGUGAUCGUCUGGCCAAGAAGUUGGCCGACGGGAGGAGAACCACAAGGCGGCCUUCAAGGCGGCGCAGGACAGCGAAGCCGCCCUGAAAGCCGAGUAUGAGACCGAGGCGGCGAGCUGGGCUGAGGCGAGGCAGGCGCUGAGCGAAGGCUACGGCCGGGUUGAAGAUUUGAUCGACGGUAGGCCGCCUUCUUCUUCACUUCUUCACUCGUCCUUAUGAUCUGGUUUAUCUUCUGAUUUGUUCUCUUUCUUUCUUAUUUGUGAAGAAUACUUCCCCGGCUACUCUGUCGCCGCCAACCAAGCCAUCGAAGCUCACCGUGAGGCCCGGCGGCAGGCUGGGGUUGAGAUUGCACCGGACGCCAACCGGUCGCUUGAGGAGUAGCUUCUGGCAAUCCAAGCCCACCUCCAGCCGGCCUACCGCAUGCUCCACCGCCUUCAGCGUGCUGGAGCGCAGGUGCUGGCCGCCCUCUGGCCCGGCGAGGUGAUUCCCCGCACCCCCAGCCGGACUGCCGACUGGCUGGAGGUAGUAGUCGGCCGCCUUGAGGCCUGGAAGGCUUCAUCAACUUGGUCCGGCGCUCGACGGGUGCUAGAGUUCGUCCGGGCUUGGUAUCUUGGGCUGAACUUGGACCAGCUGCGCACCUGGCGGCAGGAGGCUGACGAGGAGCUGGAGGCGGUGCGGCCGGCUAUCAUCCAGCGCGCCUCGGCGAUCACCGACUUCACCGACACCAGCGCCUUUGCUCCUAAGGUAAACAAAGACAGCGUCGCGCAGCCGGAGGAAUGGUUCAGGCUGAACCCGACCGACGGUGAAGACUCGACGGAGGAGAUCGACUCCAGCGACGAGGGCGAGGAGGAGGAGGAAGACGGCAAAGACAUUGUGCCGGAUGGUGAAGCAGCCAACCAGCUUUAUCCUGAUUGUGCCUCCAACAACGAGGUGUGUGCGAAUGCACCGCCUGCCGCAGGUGACGAUCAGGCCGAGACUCGCCAGCCGGCCACUCCUCCAGUCGACACCGCUGUUUCCAGCGAUCUGCCCGACGCCCCAGUUGCUCCCUUGGCCUGACUCGUCGUCUCUACUUUCCUGCUCGUUACCCCUUGAACAUUUUUUUAUUAACUUUGCUCAGUUCCACCCACUGGGGGUGUAUUCAAACUCUAUCGAAUGUCGGCCCUUCGAUGGCCUUUUGUGUAAAUAUUAUUAUGCAUGUGCUUGGCUUCCAUUCCUACUUUCUUUUUAUCUGUUGGUUGUUUUCCUUUGCCGCCCUCCCUUGGUCGCCGCCUUCCCAGCCGGACAGUUGCUCUGCAGUCUGUGGCCGGAUAAGGAAUUGGCCGUCUGGGAGGGCAAGUACUCAAGCUUUCUUAUAUUGUAGCAGAGUAUGAAGGGAAGCCGGCCAGCCGGCUGCUUCGACAGCCGGUUGGCGAGGGGUGGGGAGUCGGCUUGUGUUAUGUAAGUUCGUUAGUCCUUAGCCGUUUUUCAUGUGGACCUACUUUUCCGCCUUUGGCUCUUGCCAGUCGGACAGCCGAUUCUUUGAGCUGCGACUUUGACAAGAGAGGGCUUGGGUGCCGGCACAUUACUUGUCUGACUGUAGGUAGAACUUGGACAUAACUCAAGGCGGCAAGUCCCCGGGCCGACUAGUCGAACCCGGUGCCGGACGAAAAAACGAAUGUACUGGCAUAACCAUGGGUAUGAUACCCGGCAUUCAUAGAUAAAAGAGGGUAGUCCCUGAGAACUCCUCGGGGAACCCGUUGUCUCGUACUUAAUACAAAAGGUAGCAUGGUACAUACUGCAUUUUAACUAUAAAAUCUUCGGAGAAGAUUGGCGUUCCAUGGUUGCUCCGACUCCUUGCCGGAAUCAUCUCUCUUGCGUGCCUUUGGCUUUUGCGCGUCGAUCAGGUAGUAGGAGUCAUUGCCUAGAGACCGGCUGAUGACGAAGGGGCCUUCCCAAGGGACCGAGAGCUUGUGCUGGCCGGCUGUUCGCUGGAUCAGCCGGAGCACAAGGUCACCCUCUUGGAAGGAUCUCGGCUUGACCUUCCGGCUGUGGUAACGGCGUAGACCCUGCUGGUAGAUGGCGGACCGGCUGAGGGCCAACAGCCGUCCCUCUUCCAGCAAGUCGACGCCGUCUUCUCGUGCUUCCUUGGCCUCCGCCUCUGUGUACAUGGUGACCCGAGGUGAGUCGAACUCGAUGUCAAUUGGGAUGACAACCUCGGCACCAUAUACAAGGAAGAAAGGGGUGAAGCUAGUUGACUUGUUCAGGGUAGUGCGCAGACUCCAGAGGACCGUCGGCAGCUCGUCGAGCCAACAGCCGGCCGAACGCUCCAGUGGCACGACCAAUCGGGGCUUGAUGCUGGAGAGGAUGAGGCCGUUUGCUCGCUCGACUUGGCCAUUUGACUGCAGGUGGGCAACGGACGCUAAGUCCAGUCGGAUGCCUUGUGUCACGCAGAAACAUGCCAGUGCUCUCCUGGCAAAAUUCGUGCCGUUGUCGGUGAUGAUGCUUGUCACGACCGGUUUUCCAAUAAAAAUAUUUAUUGAGAAACCAGUCUUUUGAGUCCAGUAUGAGAGAAAUCCUCCUCACUGGUAGACAAUUUCUUGAUACAAUAAGCCAGUAGCAUAAAAUAUAUUACAUGGUCGAACUGCAAUUGCUCAACCAAAUUAUUACAAGCACGCCAAUAAUUAUACAUAAUGGCGGACAUGACACAGUGGUGUGGAGACAUACUACUGACUCGAGGAUAGGGCGGUGGUGGAAAAACACAGCGGGGAGAGAAAUACAAGACUCUAAGUCUAUCAUCUCGUCGAGCGUCGAGGUGAGGCUCGAUGAAUUUAUUUGGUAGCGGAAGCGGAUAUAAAACAGUGACCAAAUCCAGGGUCGCACGAGACUGACUGGGACUCCUCUAAGUGUCGGACUCGCUAUCAAACUCUUCAUCCAUGAGAUCGCCUUCGUCAGCAUCUGGCCAAAUCAACAAGCCAGUGAGUACUUUGAAAGUACUCGCAAGACAGUUAGGACGUAAGAUAUAACAAAUGCAUGCAUGGAUGCGUCAUGAAUAAAUUCACCAAUGUACAUUCAAAAUUAUCAUAACAAGGUAAGUAAAAGGGAAACGGCAGUAGUCCGCCUGAAAUCCCAACAGAACAUAAAUAAUUACCGAUCGGGUGUCUGAAGCGACGCCUUGAAAGGUGAACAAAUAAAUAUGAGGAAAAAGAUGACACAGUCGGGCGUCUUAGCGACACCACAUAAAGGGCUUAAAAAGAAAUACCUCAGUCGGACGUCGGGGCGACGUCACAGAAAGGGCUUUAAAAGAAAUGCCACAGUCAGACGUCGAGGCGACAUCACAGAAAGGGCUUUAAAAGAAAUGCCACAGUCGGAUGUCGGGGCGACAUCACAGAAAGGGCUUUAAAAGAAAUGCCACAGUCGGACGUCGGGGCGACAUCACAAAAAGGGCUUUAAAAGAAAUGCCACAGUCGGACGUCGGGGCGACAUCACAGAAAGGGCUUUAAAAAGGAAUGCCACAGUCGGACGUCGGGGCGACAUCACAGAAAGGGCUUUGAUUCAUAAGUAAAUAAUACUCAUAAUAAACAUUUAAUUCAUGAGAAUAAAUGGGUUAGUCCAUCCACAGGAAUAUUCAUUUAACCGGAAUUAGCACUCAUGCGAAUCACCGGAGUCUCUGUCAUCAAAACUGUCAUUGUUAGGACAAGAUAAUACGAAUUUGGACAUGGAAUAGAUGAUUUGGAGGGGAUAUAUGACUCUGCAGAGUUUGUACAAAAUUAUUCCCACAGCCAACGGAUUUCCGUAGUCACGAAGGACUAGUUCCGUUUACGGUAUUUCGGAAGAAAACACAGCUAACCAGUACACACCCAUCCUACCUCUCGAUGCUAGGAAUCACCCUAGACAUCGUCCAAGAAAAACUUUUGAGACGGGGAGAUCACAAUCUCGAAUAGCAUGGGAUCAAAUUUAUAUACGCGCGCUCUAAGGGGUGCCCCCCUCUCGGUCCCAACCGGAAACACCCAUGCCCCCUGACCGGAUGACUGGCUUUAAUCCAGGGCCAUGGAACCAUCAUCACGGCCUCUCCUUUUGGUGUGUACCAGAAAAGCGGUUUGCAACUUACUAAACCAUAUUCCUUGCGGAAAACAUGUGGUAGUACAGGGAAGAAAAUGAGAGGAACUGGACCGACACGGUUUGACACUGAAGUCACAUAGUCCGGCAUGAGACUGGCAUGCUACAACACUGCCAUCUCACCCAUCCUCAUGCCAACACAUGGCCAUUCAUCCACUUAUGGAUCAUCGAACUCACUUACCUCAUUAUCGCAUAAAAUAACGUUCAUCGGUAUGCUUAUCAACAUGCCAUGAAACUAACUAAAUGCAAAACAUGCCAAUACACUCAUCAUAUCAAAAGUUCAAACAUGCUUGCCUGGUUCAGAGUAGUCGGAGCCUAGCUCGGUGAAGUUCGCGGCUCCGUCACCUCCUUCGGUAUCUCCGUGCUCAGGGCACCCUUCCGCGUCAAUUGGUGGUGGUGGUGGUCGCCGGCGAGUACCACGUCGACGGCGAGCUUUGCUCCGGCGGACGGCGGCUCGGGUGGUCGAGGGACUCGUCGGAGAGGGCGGAGCGAAUCGAGGUGGCGGCCGAGGCGGCCGGAGUUGAGGGGGAAGACCUCCUCGGGGUCCCCCUAGUGACCUGGUGUGGCGUUGGUGAGGAGUGGGGAUGAGGCGUGCACGAGGGUGAUCUCGGGGGCCCUUUUUAUAGGCAGCCCGAGGCGGUUGCCGUGAGCGGGGAUCUCCGGCGAGUGAUUACGGCGGAGCCGGCGAUGUGCAGGGGGAUUAGGGGCUUGGGCUUCGUCGUUGAGGUCCACCGGUCCCAUUUAGGCGCUAAACGGGCUGGGACUUGGUGCUGAGGGUGAGCUCGACGGAACGGGGGUGGCGCGGCACGUCGGCGGCAGGGAGCACGUUCCGUGCUUGCCGGGCCACGGCGACGGUGCCACGGGCGUGCGCUGGCACGGCAGGGACACGCGGAGAGCCAAGGGGCCUUGGGCGGCGCCGGGUGGCGUGGCGAGAGGGCUCGGGCCCUUGUUGGCCGCCACGGGAGGUGCAACCACCGCAGAAGCUCCCAACGCCGGUGAGGCUCGCUGCUACCGACGCCAGGAAGGCUCCACGCACGCGUGUGAAGCUCCGGACAGGAGGGAGACGCUGCGAGGAACAUGCCAAGUGCACUGUCUACACGUGAGGGGAACUGACGAACGCAAACGACACUGAGACUGAAUUUUUUUGAAUUUUGAACAGCAGCAGUGCAUGCAAGGUGUUCGACAGAAUGAAAUUGGCAUCUAGGGAUUUUUCCUUGAGCUGAAACUUGGUGGAGUGGCUUCUCAUUGCUCAAGUAGGCUGCCUGAAUUUUGGUGGAAUUUUUGGGGAAGUGUAGAUAUGAAUUUCAUCAAAUUUGGCAAAUCUGGUCCAAACUUGCAGAGACUAAAUUUUGAAAAUUUUGAAAAGAGGAGGAGUGGAUCAAGAUGGUUCUGGGUUGUGGGUACAAAGGACUACCUAGGAGAGUUGGUUUGAGGUCAAAACUCAAAUGCAAUAUGGUACUUUCUUUGAAAAUCCCUCAGGCUCCAAAUAAUUAUCAGAUUUGUUUUGAGAGGAAAAAUAAUUAGAAUAAAAUCCAAAACUUGUUUGGAUUAGUUGGGACUGAGGACUUAGGUUGAUCACAAGGUGUAGGGGAGGUUUUGGAGGGGUUUUACCACAUGGGAACAAUGCAAAGUCAAGGGUGGUUCCAAGGUAUGAAAAUCCCCAAAUUUUCAUAGAGCUUCAUUUUAAAAGAAAACAAUUUAAACUCAAAAAAAUUAAAUUUGAGAGAGAACCAACAGAGAAGAAGUUUCAAAAGAUCAAACACUAAGGUUUGCAAAAAAAAUCCUUGCCAAAGCAAAGGAAGUUUUUAAGUGGAAGGUUUUUCUGAAAAAGAAAAAUUUUAAAAAGGCCUCUCCUCAAAAACCACAAAGUUUUUGAUAAAAACCAAAUAAAAAUUUUAGAGUGUCACAACACCUACCCCCUUAGGAAAACUCUCGUCCCCGAGAUUUCAGCUGAUCCUUAAAAAGGUGUGGAUGCUCAGUCCGAAGAAAAUCCUCGCUUUCCCAAGUUGCUUCACUGUCGGUGUGAUUGCUCCACUGGACUUUGAAAAACUUGAUGGUCUUCUGUCGGGUCCUCCUUUCAGAUUCCUCUAAUAUUCUUAUGGGACGUUCUCGAUAAGUGUGGUCUGGCUGCACAUCAAUGUUUUCAUGGGAUACUUGUUUCUCUGGGUUGCAUACGUACUUCCUCAAUUGCGAGACAUGGAACACGUCGUGGACAUCGGAUAAUUCCUCGGGUAAGUCUAGCUGGUAGGCUAUAGUGCCUCUUCGUGCCACUAUGCAAAAUGGUCCAAUGAAUCUUGGUGCUAACUUCCCUUUUAUCUUGAAUCGUUGCAAUCCUCUCAUAGGGGAUACUCUCAGGUAUACGAACUCACCGGGUUCGAAGCUGACCCUACGAUGUUUCUGAUCAUAAUAACUCUUCUGUCGACUUUGGGCAGUUUUAAGUCAGUCUCUGAUUAGCUUGACCUUUUCCUCGGCUUCUCUGAGCAUGUCUGGCCCGAAUAUGCGGCUGUCUCCGGUCUCUGACCUAUUUAGCGGGGUACGACAUCUUCGCCCGUAUAAAGCCUCAAAUGGUGCCAUUUGUAGGCUGGCCUGGUAGCUAUUGUUGUACGCGAACUCGUCGUAUGGCAGGCUUUCUUCCCAACUGGUUCCGUAGGUGAGGACACAUGCCCUCAGCAUGUCUUCUAAAACCUGGUUUACGCGUUCUGUUUGUCCAUCAGUCUGUGGAUGGUAUGCGGUACUGAAGGCUAGUUGGGUUCCCAGAGCCUGUUGUAAAUGCUCCCAAAAUCUUGAGACGAACUGAGUGCCUCUGUCGGAUAUUAUAGUCUUCGGGACACCGUGCAGACAAACUAUGCGGGAAAGAUAAAUCCUGGCAAGCCUCUGAGUGGUGUAGGUUGUCUUCACUGGAAUAAAGUGUGCCACUUUGGUCAACCUGUCAGUGAUGACCCAUAUGGCAUCAUUCCCGUGUCGUGACCGAGGUAGUCCGAUAAUAAAAUCCAUCCCUAUUUCAUCCCAUUUCCACUCAGGUAUUUUGUUAGGUUGCAGUAGUCCGGCUGGUCUCUGAUGUUCAGCUUUUAUGCAUUGACAUGAGUCGCAACAUGCAAUGAAGGCGGCUAUGUCCCUCUUCAUACCAUGCCACCAAAAUCUUUCCUGAAUAUCCUUAUACAUCUUGGUUCCUCCAGGGUGGAUCGAAUAUGGAGUGGUGUGUGCUUCAGCUAAAAUUUGCUGUUUAAGGUCUUCUAUGUUUGGCACGCAUAGCCGUUCUCCGUACCAUAAUAUUCCUUCAUUAUCUAUGACGAAUUCCGAGGCCUUGCCCAUAUUCAACUUUCUUUUAAUUCCUUCAAUGCUGGGGUGACCGGGCUGAGGUUCUUUAAUUUUCUCCACAAGGUUGGGUUGUAUUUCCAAGUUUGAUAUGGUGCCUUCUGCUACCAUUAUCAAGUUGAGCUUGGCAAAUUCUUGAUGGAAUUCGGGCCUCAAGCUGUGCAGAUAGUUUCCGUCGGAGCUGGGGAUCCAACUCAGGGCAUCGGCCACCACAUUUGCUUUCCCUGGAUGGUAAUGGAUCCCAACAUCAUAAUCCUUUACCAAUUCCAACCAGCGUCAUUGCCGUAAAUUUAGUUCUGGCUGCGUGAAAAUAUAUUUGAGACUUUUGUGAUCCGUAUAUAUUUCACAUCGAUUCCCAAGUAAGAAAUGCCUCCAUUCCUUGAGUGCAUGAAUAACUGCUGCCAUUUCUAAGUCAUGAGUGGGAUAAUUUUCCUCAUGCUUGCGAAGUUGCCUUGAAGCGUAGGCGACAACCUUGCCUUCUUGCAUCAACACGCAUCCGAGACCCUUUCUGGACGCGUCACAAUAUACUUCAAAAUUCUUGUGUAUGUCGGGUACAAUUAAUACCGGUGCUGUUGUUAAUUUCCGCUUUAGAUCUUGGAAACUUUUCUCGCAGGCUUCUGUCCACUCAAACUUCUUAUCUUUCUUGAGCAACUGUGUCAUAGGCUUGGCUAUGGUGGAAAAUCCUUCAAUAAAUCUGCGGUAAUAUCCUGCCAUUCCCAAGAAACUCCGGAUGUCCGUUACGCUGGCUGGUGAUUUCCAGUCAAGUACGGCCUUGACUUUCUCUGGGUCCACCGCGAUACCAUCUUGAGUCAGCACGUGGCCUAGAAAACCUACUUGUCUUAGCCAAAAUUCGCACUUGCUGAACUUGGCAUACAAUUUGUGUUUUCUUAGCUCUCCUAGCACAAUCCUGAGAUGUUCUGCGUGCUCUUCUGGUGUUUUGGAGUAUACCAGAAUAUCGUCGAUGAAUACCACGACGAAUUUGUCCAUAAACUUCAUAAAUACUUUGUUCAUGAGGUGAACAAAAUAUGCUGGGGCGUUAGUUAAUCCAAAAGGCAUCACUGUGAACUCAUACAAUCCAUAUCUGGAGGUGAAGGCUGUCUUGGGGAUAUCUUCCGUUCGUACCUUCAAUUGAUGGUAUGCUGACCUUAAGUCAAUUUUUGAGAAUACUUUGGCCUGAGCAAGUUGAUCAAACAAAUCGUUUAUCCUUGGCAUCGGGUAUUUGUUUUUGACUGUGACCAUGUUAAGUGCUCGAUAGUCAAUACACAAUCUCAGCGUUCCAUCCUUCUUUUUGGCAAAUAAAAUUGGUGAUCCCCAAGGUGAGGAGUUGGCUCGAAUGUAUCCUUUUUCCAGUAAUUCCUUUAUUUGCUUCUUCAACUCGACCAACUCGGAUGGUGCCAUUCUGUAUGGUUUCUUGUAUAUGGGGGCGGUUCCUGGUGCUAGCUCAAUGCGGAAUUCUAUUUAUCGGUCUGGUGGCAUGCCUGGUAGCUCUUCAGGGAAUACAUCUGGAAAUUCACACACUACUGGGACCUUGUUUAGCUCAGAAACGUCCACCUUAUUUAAUCUCAGUUGCCGGGGUCUUUUUCCUUCCUUGGCUGAUACUCUUAUUGUCUUCCCUUGGUGGUGUGUGAGGAUCACGGUCCUGUUGAAACAGUCGAUAAAACCUUUAUUGGUGGUUAGCCAAUCCAUCCCUAGGAUGACAUCCAGUCCUUUAUUUUCCAAUACAAUAAGAUUUGCGUGAAACUCCAAUCCUUCGAACUCAAUGACCACAUUCUGACAGUAAUUCUGAGAAACUUGCUGAAUCCCAGGGGACUUGAUGAUCAUGGAUUUCUCCAAAGGAAGCAUCGAAAACUUAUUUUGCAAAGCAAAACUUUUCGAAAUGAAAGAGUGAGAAGCUCCAGAAUCAAACAAAACCAUUGCAGGUAUUGUGUUGACAGGAAAUGUACCAAGUACGAUAUCCGGAGCAUUUUGUGCCUCCUCUUUGGUUACGUGGUUCAGAUGACCCUUCCUGUGGUUAUUGUUGGGAUUGAAAUUGUUUCGCUUGGGCGCUGAAUUAUUGCCGCCGUUGUUCGGCUUUGGGGUUGAACUCCUUGGCUUGGGGCACUGUUUGGCAUAGUGCCCUUCUUCUCCACAAGCGUAAUGUCACAUCCUAGCUAGCCAUGCAUUAGAGUGUUGCAUCAUGUUUCCUCUUUCAUCAGAAACUUGAAAUGGGGAUCUGUGAAACCCUCAGAAUCAUUUUGAAAAUGACCCAAAUAAAAAUUUCUCCAAAAGGGUCCAAGAAAAUGCUCAUGUUGCUCUAUGAAAAUAUUGGACAGAGAUAAAAAUCAAGCCAAUAUUUUUAAGAGCUCAUAGGUAUUUAUUUUGGGCAUUUGGAAUUAAUGCAUAAAUAUUUGCAUUGGAAAUAUAUUAAUUAUAUAUAUUAAUAUAUGUCCAAAUAUUAUGCCAUUUAUAAAAGAGCUCUGGAAUAAUAUAUAUAGCUCCUGCAAAAAUUGGCAUAAGUUAAAUAAAUGAUUUAAUAUAUUAUUUAAAUCAAAACAAAUGUCAGAAAUUAGAAAACAGAAAUAAAUAACAGGAGGAGCUUACCUGGGCUCCUCCACUGUGCGGCCCAGCCAGCUGGCUGGCCCAGCCAGCAGCCGGCCCAGCCCACCUCCCUCCUCUGUCGUCUUCGUCCCGACAGAGGGAGGGGAGUGUGGCCGGCGCGCGCGCGCGCCACCGCGCCACGCCACCUCUCUCCCUGCCUGCCUGCCCUCCCCUCCUCGCCUCGAUGCCCUGGACGACGCCACGCCUCCCCCCCUGCUCUCUCUCACUCUCCCGCAGUUCUUCCCUCCUCUCCCUCGCUCUCUCUCUCACACGGCCGAACACCACCGUCGCCGCCGUUCGCCACAGCAGCCGUCUCCGGCCACCCCUCGCUCCCCCGACCAGCUCAGAAGCUCCGCCACGACCCCCUCUUCCUCCCCACCGCUCCACAGCUCUCCGGAAGCCCUGCAUCGCCGCCACGUCGCCGUUCCCCUCUUCGGGCUCCGACCAUCGUCGCCGUCGAAUUCGUCGUCUCCAGCGCGUCCCCGAGCCCGCUAACCAUCCCUGCAGCUCCGCGGUGAGCCCCCGGAUCGUUUCCCCUUUCUCCCUGGUCUCUCCCGACCUCUAGGCCCUAGCCCCAAAUUGGCCGAGAGCUCCAUGCCGCCGGCGAUGUCGCCGUCGUGGCCACGGUCACCGUAGCGCCCAACCGAGCACACUAACAUGCUCCACGCCUCACUAGGAGCACGCAUCACGCACCAACGCCUCCCCAAACCCCCUGCAACGCCGAUUCCGACCGCACCCGAACUCCGGCGGCCGCAGCCGAGCUCGUCGCCGUCGACUCCGGCCACCCCAGGCCCAGCCACGACCACCGUCCGACGCGCCGUCGAGCUAGCUAUCCAACGCACCUAGCCGCACGCCGUUUGGAGCACCACAGAGGAAACCCGAGGCCCCUGUACGCCGCGGACCUCGCCGGCGACUAACCGCCGGCGGGUUUGACUUGUCCGACCUGAGGUUUGACCCCCCCAGGGUCACUGACGCGUGGGCCCCAUCGGCCAGGUGGUCAGUUAGUGCUAAUUACCGUUAGUCAACCCCCCCUGACACUGACAGUGGGCCCCAGCGCCACUAAUCCCUAAUUAAGAUUAAUUUAAACCUGUUAAACCCCCCUGUCACUGACAUGUGGCCCCCACACGUCAGGUUUGACCCCAGCCAGCCGCAGUUGACCACUGACGUCAUGCUGACGUCAUGCUGGCGCAAUAAUUAUAAUUUCUGGAAUUAAUUUAAAUCAGGAAAUUCCAGAAUAUAAUUUAAACUUCAAAAAUUCAUAACUUUUAUUCUGUAACUCCAAAUUGGACAAAUUAUAUAUGAAAAAUGAUCAGAAAAAUCCAAUCUAUCCAUCUGUACUAUUUUCAUGCAUGAUCAAACAAGUUAAAUUGAUGUUCUAAGAAGAACAAGGAAAAGCACUUAAAGAGGCCAUGUUUGAGUUUGAAAUUUGAAUCUUUGAUUCAAAUUUGUUCAAACCCUUCUGGUUUUAGUUGCAUUAGCCCAACACACUCAUAUUGCCAUGUUUCAUGCAUGCAUCAUAUUGUUGCACAUUGUUUGGUGAUGUUUGCGUAUCGAUGUCCUUUGCGACAGGUUCUGCCCCCGAGGAGUACCGUGAUUACCCUAACGAAGAAUCAUAUCCGUGUAUCGAACCAUCAGGCAAGCAAUCAACCAUUUGAUCAUAUCGAUACAAUCCCAUGUUCUCGCUCCUGCUCUCUUUUACUGCAUUAAGACAACGCGUUUCAAACUACUGUGUGCUACGGUAGUUGAACCCAUUUCCUCUGCAUGACCUGUCAUUGCCACAGUAACUAGAUGAAACCCACUAGCAUGUGUAGGAGUUGAUUGAGCCAUAUGUAUGUGUUGUUCCUACCUUGCUAUGCCUGCUAUGCUUAGAGUCGUGUCAGGUCUGGUUCAUCUGGGUGAUGGGCUAGAGUGAAAUGUUUAUGUCGGUAAUGAGAGUGGUGUGGUGAACACGAUUUGGUAAAGGUAUCGAUGAGAGGCCAUGUAGGAGUACAUGGUGGGUUGUUUCAUUGAAGCCGACCUUAAGCACUGAGAUCUGUAUGUGUGAUUUAAGAUACAGCUACUACCAUGCAUUGGGCCCUGAAAUAUGACCCCGCUCGACUUCUUAUUCACCCUAGCCCUCUGUCCAGGAGUUGCAAGUAGUUUCUGGUGUUUGUAGCCUACUGGAGGCCGUGGACAGCGCUGACCGUAGGGGUGGGCUGUGAUGCGGUAGGUACGUGGCCGGGUGUACCGAAUACCCGUUAGGUAUCUCGGGAACCUUGUUCACAUCGUUCGGGGCCGUAUGGGAAACCUCGGCCGGACUCCCUGCGGAUGGAACCUGAAUAGGCGAUAAACCUGGACUAGAGGCUUAAGUGUUUAGGUAGGUCGUGGUCUACACCCACGUCGGCUUUCGCUUGAAGUCUGCCGAGCACAUGUCGUGUGCAGACUCUAAGUGGUGGAAACAUGUAUGAAGGAGUACACCCCUGCAGGGUUAUCAUAAUCUAUUCGAAUAGCUGCGUCCGCGGUAAAGGACUACUUGGUUGCCUAUACAGUUCAUAGACAAGUAAAUGGAAACUACUAAAAUUCUCAAGAUAAGUGUGAGUGCCGAGGAUGGCUCUUCCGUAGGAAGACGGAGGCGGAUCCUCGGUAGUGUAUUGAAGUGGUGAGUAGUGGACUCGUGUGCGCAAAACUAUUUCAAGUUGGAGUAUCGUAGGAUAGUCUAGCCAAGAGUCAAAGCUGGCUUGCUGCAAUAACUCCACCAACCCUUCUUGAUAAUAUGCAUGUAUGUAGGAUCUGAUGUAAGUCUUGCUGAGUACCUUUGUACUCAUGUUGCUAUGAUCUACAUUUGUACAGAAGACGCUGCAACCCCUUCUGAUGGGUUCUAUGUAGACGUUGACAUCAACGAGUAGGCUAAAGACCCAGGUGGUGACCCUGAGCUUGUGAUGGACCACGUAGUAUAGCUAGGCUUUCCAAGCCUCUUUUAUUUUACUAGUUGUCUGUACUCAGACAAUGUACUUCCGCUGCUGGUUUGUAUGACUGUAUGACUUGUAUGUUGGGUCGUGAGACCCGUACCUUUGUGUAUGUUAUGUAUGGCUCUCUGAGCCUUAAAUAAAGUACUUGUGUCGUAGAGUCAUGUUGUGAUGCUUCGUUGUAUUUGCACAUAUCGAGCAUAUUGUGUGUAUGAUUGAAAUGCUUGGUAUGUGUGGGAUCUGACUAUCUAGUUGUUUAUCUUUAGUAGCCUCUCUUACCGGGAAAUGUCUCCUAGUGUUACCGCUGAGCCAUGGUAGCUUGCUACUGCUCUGGAACACUUAGGCUGGCCGGCAUGUGUCCUUCUUCGUUCCCGUGUCUGUCCCUUCGGGGAAAUGUCACGCUUUGAGUACCGGAGUCCUGUUAGCCCGCUACAGCCCGGUUUACCGGAGUCCUGCUAGCCCAGUGCUACAGCCCGGACCCACUUGCUAAUGACCGACACGUUCGAAGGUGGGUCAUGGAUGCCUGUCCCUGUAAGUCUGUGCCACUUUGGAUUUACGACUAGUCAUGUCAGCCCGGGCUCCUUAUCAUAUGGAUGCUAGCGACACUAUCAUAUACGUGAGCCAAAAGGCGCAAACGGUCCCGGGAGAAGGUAAGACGACACCCGUGGGGAUACCGUGCGUGAGGCCGCAAAGUGAUAUGAGGUGUUACCGGCUAGAUCGAUGUGACAUCGAGUCGGGGUCCUGACAGCGUUGGCAUCAGAGCCGGACUGCCUGUAGGUUCUCCAAGCCAAACUGGUCGAUGUUGAGUCUAGAAAUUCUUUAGUUAUAUGUAGGGGAAUUGUUUGUGGGUUGGAACGUAAGGCUCUUUUUACUCCUUUAUCUUAUGACUUUCUGAUCUGAGUCAGUCCAUUCUUCCACCGGGGGUUAAGGAAUUAGGAUCUGUUCUCUCUAUCAGGAUCACGAGUUACUAAUCAGUAGUACCUUAUAAGUUUGUUGGUCACAAGCCUAGUUCAGUUCUUCUACCACAUUAUGUUGAUAGAAUGGUUUCAGAACUUUGAUAUGAUGAUGUUGAGUGUGUACGAAAUCCUUUGUCAAAUGUCUCAAAAUCCUUUUUGAGCAUUUACAGCUGUUAUGCUGCCGAAAUUUUGCCAGAAAUUCUACUGCCCUUGCAUUAUGAUUGUGCUUUCAGAUGGCCACUCGCGACCUCAAUCAAGUGGUUCGCCUGACUCGAUGCCUAGAUGUACCCGGCCAUACUGCCAAGUUGGUCAGGGUAAUGACUGAGGCUGGAUACCGAUGGUAUCCUGAGUACACGGUCGAAGAGCAAUUCCGAGACUUUAAUCAAAGCCAAUAUCUCUGCACUGUCAGGAUAUUUCCAUCUUAUCCUGGAUCCACCGAGCCUCUUCACUGCUCCUAUGGACUCGGGGUUACUAUUGAGAUGGCUGUGCAGGACGCCGCCUACUCUAUGAUGACCAUUAUGCGAGUCAGAUCUGGUUUAUUUCGGGACUCUGAUUUCCGGUAUAUGCCAGGAUCACUUCCGGGAGCACAAGGGUAUCUCCAGGCUAUUUAUGCUGACCCCACUUAGGAGGAUUCACGGACUCGCACCACUGCUGAGAUGCUCGAGGAUAAGGACCGUGAAAAUCGGGCCUUAAGGUUAGAGCUCUUCAAUACCCGUGCUGACCACUGGGCCACUUUGACUCGGUUCGCACCGGCGGUGCAAGCUGGAUAUUCAGAUAUGCGCGAUCUCUAUCCUGUGAGAUCUGCUCUGCCGGACGUGAUGGGUUGGCGUGAUGUAGGAGGCAUCACCCCACCUCGCGGUCCCCGCAGGCCACCGUCUGUUGGUCCAAGGCCUCAUCCUAGCCCCUAUGGUCCACAAGCUCCGCGAGACCGUCUGUUUCCGGAUGAUCAUGUUGAACUUCCAGGCUAUGGAGGCGACUUCUACGAGGACUACUACGGAUCGGUCUGAGUUAGCGAUAGUAUCACUAGUUCGCACUAGCUGUGUCUUCUAUCGUCCCGCGUGACUCGUGGGAUAUGACCUAGUUUGUACUCUUUCUGGAGGUGUAGAAAAAUAAUGUAUAGGAGCUUGGGAUGCCUCCGAUGAGAUGUAAUCCUCUUUUCACCGUAUUAGUACUUUGUUUGGUCUUGUACUAAACCCUGUAUGGUGUGUAUGACGAUGGAAUAAAAGAAGCAUUUACUGUAUCUACCAUGUCAUACGGAUGAUCAUCUUGCAUUCCGAGUUAUUCCUUACAUUAUGUAUCCUAUGUCGGAAUUUUAUCAUCCUGACUACAUCAUUGUCUUGUUUACCUAGGAUGGUCAACACGCGCACUAACCCUGCUCCUCAAGAGCAGGCCGAAGGCAGUGAAGUCAGGGAUACAAAUCUGCCUCAUCCUCCUUCACUAGCCGAGGUUAUGAUGGAAGCUGAGAGAAACAAGCGGGAGACCAACCGUUUGUUGGAGCGUAUUGAACAGAACACAGCACACCAUCAGAGGACUAACGUGGUGUCACUCAGUGAUUUUAUCAAAUUACAUCCACCCACGUUCCACCACUCCGUCGAGCCUCUCGAUGCUGAUGACUGGCUUCGCAGUAUCUCUCACAAACUGCGUUCCGCGCUGGUAGCGGAGGCUGACAAGGUCACCUUUGCUGCAUAUCAUCUUGAAGGCCCCGCCAGUCUAUGGUGGGAGCAUUAUGGAGCUAUGCGCCCAGCGGGCCAUGUCACUUCCUGGACCGAGUUCAGCAAGGCUUUCCGUGAACAUCACAUUCCGGAGGGUCUCAUGGAUCGUAAACGUGAGGAAUUCUGCAAUUUCACCCAAGGCCGACUUUCUGUGGAUGUUUAUAGCAGGGAGUUUGGUAAUCUCGCACGAUAUGCAACCGAGGAAGUUUCUACUGACGCCAAGAAGCAAGCAAGGUUCCGUAAGGGACUUAGUCCUGAGCUUCGCCGCGACCUCCGUCUGCAUGAGUGCACAUCUUUUCAGAAACUUGUCAAUAAAGCCAUCAGUGCUGAAACUGGUCAGACUGACUAUGACGCAACACGCAAGCAUGGCCGUGAUAUGGGUUCCUCAUCCGGUGCUGGUCCUCAGAAGCGCCGCGUGUGGGUACCCAACACCGCCUUGCCACCCAGGUUCACACCGAGGCCAUCUUUCCAGGCGCCUCGCCCUGUUCAACAGUCUGCACCGACCAAGCCCUAUGGGGGUCCAUCUAACAAUGCUCCUCCACGUACCAGCUCCGUGACUUGUUUCAAGUGUGGGGAAUCUGGUCACUAUAUGCAUGAGUGUCCCCAGACCAACCCCAAUCAAUCUGCUAAAGCUGUUGGCCGUGGCAAGCCGACAGGGAAAGUGUUUCAUGCUAAACCGGUCACCGCUUCACGUGGCCAUGUCAACUGUAUCUCUGCCGAAGAAGCUCAAGAGGAUCCCAACGUCGUUCUCGGUACGCUUCUUGUUAAUUGCCACCCGGCAUCUGUUCUUUUCGAUACAGGAGCCUCUCAUUCUUUUAUAUCCGAAAAUUAUGCUCGUUUGCAUAACGUUGCAUUCUGCGACAUGCCAUCCACUAUGGAAAUUUCUACCCCUGGUUCUAGAUGGCAGACCUCUAGGGUAAGUUAUGGAAAUGAAAUCCAAGUCGAUAGACUUGUUUUUCUCGCAUCUUUGAUAGCCCUUAAAUCUUCAGAUAUUAAUAUCAUUCUGGGUAUGGACUGGAUGUCAGCUCAUCAUGCCCAAAUUGAUUGCUUCUCUAGGACUGUUCAACUCACCCAUCCUUCGGGGAAGAUAGUCAAUGUCUUGACCCGAAUAGCCACGCGACAAUUAUAUUCUCUUAACGCCAGCCCUUUGCCAGACCUUGAGGACAUUCCGGUAGUCCGUGACUUCCCGGAUGUUUUUCCAGAGGAAUUGCCAGGUGUUCCACCUGACAGGGAUGUUGAGUUCGUAAUCGACCUCAUCCCCGGAACUGUUCCGAUUGCUAGAAGACCUUAUAAGAUGGCACCACUAGAACUAGCCGAGCUUAAGAAACAACUCGAUGAAUCCUUGAAAAAGGGUUUCAUCCGCCCUAGUUCAUCUCCGUGGGCUUGCCCCGUCCUAUUCGUCAAGAAGAAGGAUGGUACGGACCGGAUGGUUGUAGAUUACCGACCUGUCAAUUUGGUCACAAUCAAGAACAAAUAUCCACUUCCCAGGAUCAACGAUCUGUAUGAUCAGCUCGCUGGAUCCUCAGUCUUCUCCAAGAUGGAUUUGAGGUUGGGCUACCAUCAAAUCAAAAUCAGAAACGGGGACAUUCCUAAAACGGCCUUUGUUACUCGUUAUGGCCAAUACGAGUACACCGUCAUGUCCUUCGGCUUAACCAACGCUCCAGCCACCUUUUCUCGGUUAAUGAACUCAAUAUUCAUGGAGUAUUUGGAUAAAUUCGUCGUGGUUUACCUCGAUGAUAUACUCAUCUACUCCAAGAACGAGGAAGAACAUGCCGAACAUCUAAGGCUAGUGUUGAAGAAACUUCGAGAGCAUCGCCUUUAUGCCAAAUUUUCUAAAUGUGAAUUCUGGUUGUCAGAAGUGACCUAUCUAGGUCAUGUAAUAUCUGGUAACGGUAUUGCUGUUAACCCUGAGCGAGUUCAAGCCGUUCUUAAUUGGACUCCACCUGAAUCGGUCAAGCAAGUUCGGAGUUUUCUAGGCUUAGCGAGCUAUUGUCGUCGCUUUGUCGAGAACUUCUCCAAAGUUGCCAAACCCCUAACCGAACUCCUCAAGAAAGAUAAGAAGUUCGAAUGGACUCCACAAUGUGAGCACAGCUUUCAGGAACUGAAAAGACGCCUGACCUCUGCUCCCGUACUGGUACCGGCAGACUUUUCCAAGGACUUUGUUAUCUACUGCGACGCCUCGCGACAAGGACUAGGUUGCAUUCUUAUGCAAGAUCGACACGUAAUUGCUUACGCUUCACGGCAAUUGCACCCACAUGAGGAGAAUUAUCCUACUCAUGAUCUAGAGCUUGCAGCCGUAGUCUAUGCACUUAAGACCUGGCGACAUUACCUCCUCGGUAAUCGUUGCGAAAUAUUCACUGAUCACCAAAGUCUGAAGUAUAUUUUCACCCAACCGGAUUUGAAUCUCCGGCAGAGACGUUGGGUUGAAUUGAUCACAGACUUCGACUUAGGAAUAACCUACACCCCAGGGAAAGCCAACGUCAUGGCUGAUGCGCUAAGUCGUAAAUCUUAUUGUAACAACAUGAUGUUACAACAAAGUCAACUGCUUCUCCAUGAGGAAUUUCGGAAGCUUAACCUUCACAUUGUACCUCAAGGUUUUUCUUUCCACCUUUGUAGCAAAACCUACUCUUACGGAUCAAAUCAUCGCUGCCCAAAAGCGAGAUAAGGGAAUAUCUAAAAUCAAAGAGAACAUUGCUAGCGGAGGUGCUAGUUGUUUCUCCACAAAUGAUCAUGGUGUUGUGUACUUUGAGAACCGUCUAGUGGUUCCCAAGAACCAGCAUCUACGGCAGUUGAUCCUUAAGGAGGCUCAUGAAUCUCCUCUCACCAUUCAUCCCGGUAGUACUAAGAUGUAUCAGGACCUACGCCAGAGGUUCUGGUGGACUAGGAUGAAGAGAGAAAUUGCCCAGUAUAUUGCUAACUGCGAUGUCUGUCGUCGUGUAAAAGCAGAGCACCAACGGCCUGCUGGCACCCUUCAACCUUUAGCUAUUCCUGAAUGGAAAUGGGAUAAAAUUGGUAUGGAUUUCAUUACCGGUUUUCCCAGGACCAAGAGAGGGAAUAAUGCUAUUUUCGUCGUGGUCGAUCGUCUUUCCAAAGUAGCUCAUUUCUUACCUGUUCGUGAGAGUAUAACCGCUAGUCAGCUGGCAGAUUUGUACAUCUCCCGAAUAGUGUCCCUCCAUGGUGUUCCUUUGGAAAUUAAUUCGGAUCGAGGAAGUCUUUUCACCUCUCGAUUUUGGGAAAGUUUCCAAAAUGCUAUGGGAACCCGUCUCUCCUUCAGCACCGCUUUCCACCCUCAGUCGAGUGGUCAAAUGGAACGCGUCAACCAAAUUCUAGAAGACAUGCUUCGAGCCUCUGUUAUCUCAUUCGGAAUGGAUUGGGAGAAGUGCCUUCCAUUUGCCGAAUUCGCUUACAACAACAGCUAUCAAUCUAGCUUGGGUAAAGCCCCUUUUGAAGUUCUCUAUGGACGACGGUGUCGAACACCCCUUAACUGGUCAGAGACCGGGGAAAGACAAUUCUUUGGCCCGGACAUGAUUCAGGAAGCAGAAGAACAAGUUCGCAUCGUUCGUGAAAAGUUGAAAACAGCCCAAUCUCGUCAAAAGAGUCAAUAUGACCGAAAACAUAAGGCUAUGACUUUCGAGGUUGACGAGAAGGCUUAUCUUCGGGUCACCCCUCUGAAGGGAACCCAUCGUUUCUGUAUCAAAGGCAAAUUGGCUCCUCGUUACAUUGGACCUUUUCGCAUUCUCGCCAAACGAGGAGAAGUUGCCUACCAGUUGGAACUACCUCUGCACCUCUCCAGAGUCCACGAUGUCUUCCACGUUUCUCAACUCAGGCGUUGCUUCUCGGAUCCUACCCGUGAAGUGGACCACGAAACGCUUGAUCUUCAAGAUAAUCUUACAUAUCGAGAGUACCCCGUUCGUAUCCUCGAUCAGGCCGAACGUACCACCCGACGUCAUAACAUCAAGUUUCUCAAAGUACAAUGGUCGCACCAUUCUGAGGAUGAAGCAACUUGGGAAAGGGAGGAUCGUCUUCGACUCGAGUAUCCCGCCUUCUUCCCGGAGGAACCCAAAUCUCGGGAUGAGAUUCUUUUGAGUGGGGGUGAGUUGUCACAUCCUUGCUAGCCAUGCAUUAGAGUGUUGCAUCAUGUUUCCUCUUUCAUCAGAAACUUGAAAUGGGGAUCUGUGAAACCCUCAGAAUCAUUUUGAAAAUGACCCAAAUUAAAAUUUCUCCAAAAGGGUCCAAGAAAAUGCUCAUGUUGCUCUCUGAAAAUAUUGGACAGAGAUAAAAAUCAAGCCAAUAUUUUUAAGAGCUCAUAGGUAUUUAUUUUGGGCAUUUGGAAUUAAUGCAUAAAUAUUUGCAUUGGAAAUAUAUUAAUUAUAUAUAUUAAUAUAUGUCCAAAUAUUAUGCCAUUUAUAAAAGAGCUCUGGAAUAAUAUAUAUAGCUCCUCCAAAAAUUGGCAUAAGUUAAAUAAAUGAUUUAAUAUAUUAUUUAAAUCAAAACAAAUGUCAGAAAUUAGAAAACAGAAAUAAAUAACAGGAGGAGCUUACCUGGGCUCCUCCACUGUGCGGCCCAGCCAGCUGGCUGGCCCAGCCAGCAGCCGGCCCAGCCCACCUCCCUCCUCUGUCGUCUUCGUCCCGACAGAGGGAGGGGAGUGUGGCCGGCGCGCGCGCGCGCCACCGCGCCACGCCACCUCUCUCCCUCCCUGCCUGCCCUCCCCUCCUCGCCUCGAUGCCCUGGAUGACGCCACGCCUCCCCCCCUGCUCUCUCUCACUCUCCCGCAGUUCUUCCCUCCUCUCCCUCGCUCUCUCUCUGACACGGCCGAACACCACCGUCGCCGCCGUUCGCCACAGCAGCCGUCUCCGGCCACCCCUCGCUCCCCCGACCAGCUCAGAAGCUCCGCCACAACCCCCUCUUCCUCCCCACCGCUCCACAGCUCUCCGGAAGCCCUGCAUCGCCGCCACGUCGCCGUUCCCCUCUUCGGGCUCCGACCAUCGUCGCCGUCGAAUUCGUCGUCUCCAGCGCGUCCCCGAGCCCGCUAACCAUCCCUGCAGCUCCGCGGUGAGCCCCCGGAUCGUUUCCCCUUUCUCCCUGGUCUCUCCCGACCUCUAGGCCCUAGCCCCACCUUGGCCGAGAGCUCCACGCCGCCGGCGAUGUCGCCGUCGUGGCCACGGUCACCGUAGCGCCCAACCGAGCACACUAACGUGCUCCACGCCUCACUAGGAGCACGCAGCACGCACCAACGCCUCCCCAAACCCCCUGCAACGCCGAUUCCGACCGCACCCGAACUCCGGCGGCCGCAGCCGAGCUCGCCGCCGUCGACUCCGGCCACCCCAGGCCCAGCCACGACCACCGUCCGACGCGCCGUCGAGCUAGCUAUCCAACGCACCUAGCCGCACGCCGUUUGGAGCACCACAGAGGAAACCCGAGGCCCCUGUACGCCGCGGACCUCGCCGGCGACUAACCGCCGACGGGUUUGACUUGUCCGACCUGAGGUUUGACCCCCCCAGGGUCACUGACGCGUGGGCCCCAUCGGCCAGGUGGUCAGUUAGUGCUAAUUACCGUUAGUCAACCCCCCCUGACACUGACAGUGGGCCCCAGCGCCACUAAUCCCUAAUUAAGAUUAAUUUAAACCUGUUAAACCCCCCCUGUCACUGACAUGUGGCCCCCACACGUCAGGUUUGACCCCAGCCAGCCGCAGUUGACCACUGACGUCAUGCUGACGUCAUGCUGGCGCAAUAAUUAUAAUUUCUGGAAUUAAUUUAAAUCAGGAAAUUCCAGAAUAUAAUUUAAACUUCAAAAAUUCAUAACUUUUAUUCUGUAACUCCAAAUUGGACAAAUUAUAUAUGAAAAAUGAUCAGAAAAAUCCAAUCUAUCCAUCUGUACUAUUUUCAUGCAUGAUCAAACAAGUUAAAUUGAUGUUCUAAGCAGAACAAGGAAAAGCACUUAAAGAGGCCAUGUUUGAGUUUGAAAUUUGAAUCUUUGAUUCAAAUUUGUUCAAACCCUUCUGGUUUUAGUUGCAUUAGCCCAACACACUCAUAUUGCCAUGUUUCAUGCAUGCAUCAUAUUGUUGCACAUUGUUUGGUGAUGUUUGCGUAUCGAUGUCCUUUGCGACAGGUUCUGCCCCCGAGGAGUACCGUGAUUACCCUAACGAAGAAUCAUAUCCGUGCAUCGAACCAUCAGGCAAGCAAUCAACCAUUUGAUCAUAUCGAUACAAUCCCAUGUUCUCGCUCCUGCUCUCUUUUACUGCAUUAAGACAACGCGUUUCAAACUGCUGUGUGCUAUGGUAGUUGAACCCAUUUCCUCUGCAUGACCUGUCAUUGCCACAGUAACUAGAUGAAACCCACUAGCAUGUGUAGGAGUUGAUUGAGCCAUAUGUAUGUGUUGUUCCUACCUUGCUAUGCCUGCUAUGCUUAGAGUCGUGUCAGGUCUGGUUCAUCUGGGUGAUGGGCUAGAGUGAAAUGUUUAUGUCGGUAAUGAGAGUGGUGUGGUGAACACGAUUUGGUAAAGGUAUCGAUGAGAGGCCAUGUAGGAGUACAUGGUGGGUUGUUUCAUUGAAGCCGACCUUAAGCACUGAGAUCUGUAUGUGUGAUUUAAGAUACAGCUACUACCAUGCAUUGGGCCCUGAAAUAUGACCCCGCUCGACUUCUUAUUCACCCUAGCCCUCUGUCCAGGAGUUGCAAGUAGUUUCUGGUGUUUGUAGCCUACUGGAGGCCGUGGACAGCGCUGACCGUGGGGGUGGGCUGUGAUGCGGUAGGUAUGUGGCCGGGUGUACCGAAUACCCGUUAGGUAUCUCGGGAACCUUGUUCACAUCGUUCGGGGCCGUAUGGGAAACCUCGGCCGGACUCCCUGCGGAUGGAACCUAAAUAGGCGAUAAACCUGGACUAGAGGCUUAAGUGUUUAGGUAGGUCGUGGUCUACACCCACGUCGGCUUUCGCUUGAAGUCUGCCGAGCACAUGUCGUGUGUAGACGCUAAGUGGUGGAAACAUGUAUGAAGGAGUACACCCCUGCAGGGUUAUCAUAAUCUAUUCGAAUAGCCGCGUCCGCGGUAAAGGACUACUUGGUUGCCUAUACAGUUCAUAGACAAGUAAAUGGAAACUACUAAAAUUCUCAAGAUAAGUGUGAGUGCCGAGGAUGGCUCUUCCGUAGGAAGACGGAGGCGGAUCCUCGGUAGUGUAUUGAAGUGGUGAGUAGUGGACUCGUGUGCGCAAAACUAUUUCAAGUUGGAGUAUCGUAGGAUAGUCUAGCCAAGAGUCAAAGCUGGCUUGCUGCAAUAACUCCACCAACCCUUCUUGAUAAUAUGCAUGUAUGUAGGAUCUGAUGUAAGUCUUGCUGAGUACCUUUGUACUCAUGUUGCUAUGAUCUACAUUUGUACAGAAGACGCUGCAACCCCUUCUGAUGGGUUCUAUGUAGACGUUGACAUCAACGAGUAGGCUAAAGACCCAGGUGGUGACCCUGAGCUUGUGAUGGACCACGUAGUAUAGCUAGGCUUUCCAAGCCUCUUUUAUUUUACUAGUUGUCUGUACUCAGACAAUGUACUUCCGCUGCUGGUUUGUAUGACUGUAUGACUUGUAUGUUGGGUCGUGAGACCCGUACCUUUGUGUAUGUUAUGUAUGGCUCUCUGAGCCUUAAAUAAAGUACUUGUGUCGUAGAGUCAUGUUGUGAUGCUUCGUUGUAUUUGCACAUAUCGAGCAUAUUGUGUGUAUGAUUGAAAUGCUUGGUAUGUGUGGGAUCUGACUAUCUAGUUGUUUAUCUUUAGUAGCCUCUCUUACCGGGAAAUGUCUCCUAGUGUUACCGCUGAGCCAUGGUAGCUUGCUACUGCUCUGGAACACUUAGGCUGGCCGGCAUGUGUCCUUCUUCGUUCCUGUGUCUGUCCCUUCGGGGAAAUGUCACGCUUUGAGUACCGGAGUCCUGUUAGCCCGCUACAGCCCGGUUUACCGGAGUCCUGCUAGCCCAGUGCUACAGCCCGGACCCACUUGCUGAUGACCGACACGUUCGAAGCUGGGUCAUGGAUGCCUGUCCCUGUAAGUCUGUGCCACUUUGGAUUUACGACUAGUCAUGUCAGCCCGGGCUCCUUAUCAUAUGGAUGCUAGCGACACUAUCAUAUACGUGAGCCAAAAGGCGCAAACGGUCCCGGGAGAAGGUAAGACGACACCCGUGGGGAUACCGUGCGUGAGGCCGCAAAGUGAUAUGAGGUGUUACCGGCUAGAUCGAUGUGACAUCGAGUCGGGGUCCUGACACGUAACAAGUAACGCCGGGGCGAUAGGUGAAUUCCUUGUCCCUUGCAUGAAAAUUCUUGAUUGGGCGUGAGACAUUGGAUGUGAAUUUGUGUGUCCCACCCUUUUGAAAAUCUGUCUUGCUUCGGUGAUUGCGAGCGUGAUUAGUCUGGUCCCUUUUUCGCUUGCGGAUAUCUUCCAGACUGCGUCUCUCAUUUUCCAGAGUAAUGGCUUUGUCCACCAGUGUUUUAAAAUCAGGAAAAGUGUGCACGACCAGUUGGCAUUUAAGCGCGGGCGCCAGACCGUCAAGGAAUUUCUCCAUCUUCUUGAUUUCAGUCAUACGUUCCUCAUUGGCGUAGCGGGAUAAUAGGGUAAAUUGACUGUUGUAAUCUGACACUGUCAUAUUCCUUUGUUUGAGGUCAUCGAAUUCUCUCUUCUUGAUUUUCAUAAUACUCUUAGGAAUAUGUGCACCACGGAAACCUUCCUUGAAAUCAUCCCAGGUUAUGUCAUUUUCGUUGGGAUGCAUGUGCAGAAAAUUCUCCCACCACGAUGCGGCUGCUCCUGUGAGAUAGUGUGGAGCAUAUAGUACUUUCUCGAGAUCUGAACAUUUUGCAAUAAUUAAUUUCCUCUCCAUAUCUCGAAGCCAGUCCUCAGCUUCAAGAGGCUUGUCAGUGUGAGAAAAUGUUUGAGGACGUGUCUUCUGUAGCUCAGAUAACUUGGAAUGCUGCUGAUACUGUCCAUGAUGAUUCCCUAUGUUGAUGACUUGGUUCAUCAUCUCACGAUGUUGUUGCUGACUCUGCUCAUAAAGGCGGCACAUUUGUGAAAGUGCCGAUUCACUGCCCUGUUGGCUUGAUUGUCCCUGAGUGAACUCGUUGUUGGGUUGUGCAUCAUAAUUUUCCUCUGGUGGAGUUGGCAUGGAACGUGUCCAAGGACGAGACAUUUUUCACUCUGGGGAUAUAUUUUUGUAAAACUCAUAAGAAAAGCGGAAAGAGUCGCAAAACAAAACCAUAAAUGCAUAAAGCUGGCAAAUUGAAUUAAAUAACUCAGCUUACUUAAGAAAACAAAUCGACAUGCGCACGGAGAAGGACUGCUCAUUACAUAUCUUACACGCGGGCGGUAAUUAUACAAUAUAUCACUCAGGAUAUGCGUACAUAAUCCUGACAUGUUAUUUAGGCUAGUGCACUUCUCCAGAUCCUACAUGAUGCGCAAACAGGCUACUUCUCACAACCUAUGUACAUAUCUUACAAAGCGGUACAAUACACGGCAGCUAAGCGUACUCAGGCAGAGAUGUUGACGACCUCCUUUGCCCUGCCGAGGGCGAGGCGUAGCGAGGUUGGGGACUCGACUUCCUCCUCGCUAAUGGGCUCCAUACGUGUAGUGUUGCGCAGAGUGGAUGGAGCGGUUGCCAGGGGUGGAGCAACACGUACAGGAGCGGGCGCGAAGGGUGGUGCAGUGCGCGCUGAAGUGGGUGCAAUGACUUGGUUGAAUUCUUCGGUAGAAGGCAGGCGACGAGUAGGCGUAUAAGAUGCUGAGGACGAGACUAAAGUCAGUGGCGGAGCGAUGGGUAGGAGCUCCCUCCUGUUGGCAGCACAGCCAUGGACUGAGUCCAUGCGGGUAGCUACGAAGUCGUCCACCAGGUUGUCGAAGGCUGCCUCCAGGGCCCGGAGAUACUCAAUGAGCAUCUCAAAAGCCUCGUCUCGUUCUCCUCUGGGGCAGGAGUAUGCGUAGUGACAGGUGUAAGGCACAUGGCACGGAAGAUAACGGUAACGACGAGUCUUCAUCACGGGAAGGACAUCCCUGAGACGAGCUAUCGCCUCGCGGGCUGCCAUCUGCAUAGCAUGCCUCUCCGUAGGCAUGGCUCUUCCCAUGAACCGGAAGCGGCGUAACUCACCACGCCCUCCCUUGAACUGCACCGCGGCCUGGUGCAUGGUCAGACUAUCGUUGACUCGGUGCUGGCAGAGUGUGAAGACUGGGCGCACGGAUGGCCCCAUCGCGACCUGAAUGAUGAAAGAAAGAAGCUUGACGAACCCAUCGGGCACGUUGGCAAAGGUCUGAGACUCGCAGCUGUUGUCGGCGAUCUACAAAAGUAGGCAAAAAUUCUGCAGGGUCAGAUCAUAAAUUUAUGCUGACUGACAGAAAAUGACUACAAUUGCAAAAAUAUAAAUUAGCUCUAUCAUGCUAAUAAAUAAUUAGCGAUCGCACCUAGUGGCUUCCUACAGUCAGCCUGGCUCUGAUACCAAGCUUGUCACGACCGGUUUUCCAAUAAAAAUAUUUAUUGAGAAACCAGUCUUUUGAGUCCAGUAUGAGAGAAAUCCUCCUCACUGGUAGACAAUUUCUUGAUACAAUAAGCCAGUAGCAUAAAAUAUAUUAUAGGGUCGAACUGCGGUUGCUCAACCUAAUUAUUACAAGCACGCCAAUAAUUAUACAUAAUGGCGGACAUGACACAGUGGUGUGGAGACAUACUACUGACUCAAGGAUAGGGCGAUGGUGGAAAAACACAACGGGGAGAGAAAUACAAGACUCUAAGUCUAUCAUCUCGUCGAGCGUCGAGGUGAGGCUUGAUGAAUUUAUUUGGUAGCGGAAGCGGAUAUAAAACAGUGACCAAAUCCAGGGUCGCACGAGACUGACUGGGACUCCUCUAAGUGCCGGACUCGCUAUCAAACUCUUCAUCCAUGAGAUCGCCUUCGUCAGCAUCUGGCCAAAUCAACAAGCCAGUGAGUACUUUGAAAGUACUCGCAAGACAGUUCGGACGUAAGAUAUAACAAAUGCAUGCAUGGAUGCGUCAUGAAUAAAUUCACCAAUGUACAUUCAAAAUUAUCAUAACAAGGUAAGUAAAAGGGAAACGGUGGUAGUCCGCCUGAAAUCCCAACAGAACAUAAAUAAUUACCGAUCAGGUGUCUGAAGCGACGCCUCGAAAGGUGAACAAAUAAAUAUGAGGAAAAAGAUGCCACAGUCGGGCGUCUUAGCGACACCACAUAAAGGGCUUAAAAAGAAAUACCUCAGUCGGACGUCGGGGCGACGUCACAGAAAGGGCUUUAAAAGAAAUGCCAUAGUCGGACAUCGGGGCGACAUCACAGAAAGGGCUUUAAAAGAAAUGCCACAGUCGGACGUCGGGGCGACAUCUCAGAAAGGGCUUUAAAAGAAAUUCCANNNNNNNNNNNNNNNNNNNNNNNNNNNNNNNNNNNNNNNNNNNNNNNNNNNNNNNNNNNNNNNNNNNNNNNNNNNNNNNNNNNNNNNNNNNNNNNNNNNNNNNNNNNNNNNNNNNNNNNNNNNNNNNNNNNNNNNNNNNNNNNNNNNNNNNNNNNNNNNNNNNCACAGUCGGACGUCGGGGCGACAUCACAAAAAGGGCUUUAAAAGAAAUGCCACAGUCGGACGUCGGGGCGACAUCACAGAAAGGGCUUUAAAAAGGAAUGCCACAGUCGGACGUCGGGGCGACAUCACAGAAAGGGCUUUGAUUCAUAAGUAAAUAAUACUCAUAAUAAACAUUUAAUUCAUGAGAAUAAAUGGGUUAGUCCAUCCACAUGAAUAUCCAUUUAACCGGAAUUAGCACUCAUGCGAAUCACCGGAGUCUCUGUCGUCAAAUCUGUCAUUGUUAGGAAAAGAUAAUAUGAAUUUGGACAUGGAAUAGAUGAUUUGGAGGGGAUAUAUGACUCUGCAGAGUUUGUACAAAAUUAUUCCCACAGCCAACGGAUUUCCGUAGUCACGAAGGACUAGUUCCGUUUACGGUAUUUCGGAAGAAAACACAGCUAACCAGUACACACCCAUCCUACCUCUCGAUGCUAGGAAUCACCCUAGACAUCGUCCAAGAAAAACUUUUGAGACGGGGAGAUCACAAUCUCGAAUAGCAUGGGAUCAAAUUUAUAUACGCGCGCUCUAAGGGGUGCCCCCCUCUCGGGCCCAAGAAACACCCGUGCCCCCUGACCGGAUGACUGGCUUUAAUCCAGGGCCAUGGAACCAUCAUCACGGCCUCUCCUUUUGGUGUGUACCAGAAAAGCGGUUUGCAACUUACUAAACCAUAUUCCUUGCGGAAAACAUGUGGUAGUACAGGGAAUAAAACGAGAGGAACUGGACCGACACGGUUUGACACUGAAGUCACAUAGUCCGGCAUGAGACUGGCAUGCUACAACACUGCCAUCUCACCCAUCCUCAUGCCAACACAUGGCCAUUCAUCCACUUAUGGAUCAUCGAACUCACUUACCUCAUUAUCGCAUAAAAUAAUGUUCAUCGGUAUGCUUAUCAACAUGCCAUGAAACUAACUAAAUGCAAAACAUGCCAAUACACUCAUCAUAUCAAAAGUUCAAACAUGCUUGCCUGGUUCAGAGUAGUCGGAGCCUAGCUCGGUGAAGUUCGCGGCUCCGUCACCUCCUUCGGUAUCUCCGUGCUCAGGGCACCCUUCCGCGUCGAUUAGUGGUUGUGGUGGUCGCCGGCGAGUACCACGUCGACGGCGAGCUUUGCUCCGGCGGACGGCGGCUCGGGUGGUCGAGGGACUCGUCGGAGAGGGCGGAGCGAAUCGAGGUGGCGGCCGAGGCGGAUCGGGGCGGCCGGAGUUGAGGGGGAAGACCUCCUCGGGGUCCCCCUAGUGGCCUGGCGUGGCGUUGGUGAGGAGUGGGGAUGAGGCGUGCACGAGGGUGAGCUCGGGGGCCCUUUUUAUAGGCAGCCCGAGGCGGUUGCCGUGAGCGGGGAUCUCCGGCGAGUGAUUACGGCGGAGCCGGGGAUGUGCAGGGGGAUUAGGGGCUUGGGCUUCGUCGUUGAGGUCCACCGGUCCCAUUUAGGCGCUAAACGGGCUGGGACUUGGUGCUGAGGGUGAGCUCGACGGAACGGGGGUGGCGCGGCACGUCGGCGGCAGGGAGCACGUUCCGUGCUUGCCGGGCCACGGCGACGGUGCCACGGGCAUGCGCUGGCACAGCAGGGACACGCGGAGAGCCAAGGGGCCUUGGGUGGCGCCGGGUGGCGUGGCGAGAGGGCUCGGGCCCUUGUUGGCCGCCACGGGAGGUGCAGCCACCGCAGAAGCUCCCAACGCCGGCGAGGCUCGCUGCUACCGACGCCAGGAAGGCUCCACGCACGCGUGUGAAGCUCCGGACAGGAGGGAGAGGCUGCGAGGAAUGUGCCAAGUGCACUAUCUACUCGUGAGGGGAACUGACAAACGCAAACGACACUAAGACUGAAUUUUUCUGAAUUUUGAACAACAGUAGUGCAUGCAAGGUGUUCGACAGAAUGAAAUUGGCAUCUAGGGAUUUUUCCUUGAGCUGAAACUUGGUGGAGUGGCUUCUCAUUGCUCAAGUAGGCUGCCUGAAUUUUGGUGGAAUUUUUGGGGAAGUGUAGAUAUGAAUUUCAUCAAAUUUGGCAAAUCUGGUCCAAACUUGCAGAGACUAAAUUUUGAAAAUUUUGAAAAGAGGAGGAGUGGAUCAAGAUGGUUCUGGGUUGUGGGUACAAAGGACUACCCAGGAGAGUUGGUUUGAGGUCAAAACUCAAAUGCAAUAUGGUACUUGCUUUGAAAAUCCCUCAGGCUCCAAAUAAUUAUCAGAUUUGUUUUGAGGAAAAAUAAUUAGAAUAAAAUCCAAAACUUGUUUGGAUUAGUUGGGACUGAGGACUUAGGUUGAUCACAAGGUGUAGGGGAGGUUUUGGAGGGGUUUUACCACAUGGGAACAAUGCAAAGUCAAGGGUGGUUCCAAGGUAUGAAAAUCCCCAAAUUUUCAUAGAGCUUCAUUUUAAAAGAAAACAAUUUAAACUCAAAAAAAUUAAAUUUGAGAGAGAACCAACAGAGAAGAAGUUUCAAAAGAUCAAACACUAAGGUUUGCAAAAAAAAAAAAUCCUUGCCAAAGCAAAGGAAGUUUUUAAGUGGAAGGUUUUUCUGAAAAAGAAAAAUUUUAAAAAGGCCUCUCCUCAAAAACCACAAAGUUUUUGAUAAAAACCAAAUAAAAAUUUUAGAGUGUCACAAUGCUAUGUGGUACUCCAUACCGGGUUGUAAUAUCUGCGAUGAAUGUCACGACAGUCGGCCCAUUCAGUUUCUUGAUCGGCUUUGCUUCAAUCCACUUGGUAAAUUUGUCCACGGUGACAAGCAGAUGUGUCAUGCCGCCGCGCGCCGUCUUGAAUGGGCCCACCAUGUCUAGCCCCCAGACGGCAAAGGGCCAGGUGAGGGGGAUGGUCUUGAGUGCAGAAGUCGGCAGGUGCUGCUUGAAGCCGAAGAUUUGGCACCCUUUGUAGUGUUUGACUAACUCCUUGGCAUCCUCCAAAGCAGUCGGCCAGAAGAAUCCAUGGCGGAAAGCUUUGGCGACGAGUGCCCUUGAGGUGGCAUGGUGGCCGCAUUCGCCUUGGUGGAUGUCUUCGAGGAUUGCUAUGCCUUUUCUGGCUCGACGCAGCGCUGGAAGACUCCAGUAACACUGCGCCUGACAAGCUCUCGAUUCAUUAUUGUGUAUGCUCCAGCUCGGCGUUGGACUUGUCUUACCGAGAUCUCGUCAGUCGGCAGCUCUCCGUUUAUCAGGAAGUGGAGGAUGGGCUGGGCCCAUGAUGGAGCUGUGACUUCUUCUAUCGCCAAAACGGCUACUGCAACCAGGGCGGGCGGGCUGGGUUGUGAGGAGUUGGAGUCGGCCGCCGCCUGCUGUGUUAGUGCAGUCCCCUGGCCGGCUGCAGUAGUCCCCGGGCCGGGUUCGACUAUGGCAGUCCCCGAGCCGUCUGUCAAAGUCCCCGAGCCGCCUGCUUGGUUCCCGAAGUCGGAUCCGACUGCAUCGGGGUCAGGCGGCACGAAGAUGGAACUGGAUUCCGGAGACGGCUUGACAGACGGCUUGAGGAGGUGUUGGAGAGCAACGUCGGUUGGUAUAGCUUGCCGGGUGGAGCCUAUUCGUGCCAGGGCAUCUGCUUGCUUGUUGUCGGCCCGUGGCACGUGGAGGAACUCACACCCCUCAAAGUAUCCGCUGAUUUGCUGAACGAGGAAGUGGUAGCUUGCCAUGUUUGCGUCCUUGGCAUCCUAGUCGCCGGAUGAUUGCUGGACCACCAGGUCCGAUUCGCCAUAGCACAGGAUCCGGCGGAUGCCAACCGGAGCCCGUGUAUGAGCGCCUCGUACUCGGCCACAUUGUUGGAGGCGGCAAAAUGGAUUUUCAAUGUGUAUCUGAGCUUGUCCCCUUUGGGAGAGGUGAGGACGAUGCCGGCUCCCAAGCCGGUGCGCAUCUUGGACCCGUCAAAGUGCAUCCGCCAAUGAGUGGAGUCGGGGGCCGGUGGCAGGUACUGGGUCUUGGCUUAGUCGACGAGGAAGUCGGCCAAUAGUUCGGACUUGAUGGCGGUGUGGGGCUGGUAGUAGAUUGUGUAAGGAGCCAGCGCAAUGGCCCAUGUCGCCACUCGGCCGGAUGCAUCCCGGCUGCCUAUGAUCUCGGCGAGCGGGGCAGUGCAUACAACCGUGAUGGGAUGCUCUUGAAAGUAGGGCUUGAGUUUCUUGGAGGCGAAGUACACACCAUAGCACAUCUUCUGAUAGUGCGGGUAGUUUUGCUUCGAGGUGGACAAUACUUCGCUCAAAUAAUAUACCGGCCUCUGGACUAGCUGAGCUCGGCCUUCCUCUGGACGAUGAACCACGAUAACUGUGCUGACCACCCGGCUAGUGGCGGCGAUGUAGAGGAACAUGGGCACUUUCUCAGUCGGUGCCGCCAGGACAGGCGGUGUGGACAGCAUCUUCUUUAGCUCAUGGAAAGCUUGGUCCGCUUGGUCAUUCCACUCGAAGUGAGUGGACUUCUUCAUGAGUCGGUAGAGGGGGAGAGCCUUCUCUCCGAGCCGGCUGAUGAAGCGAUUCAGAGAUGCCAGGCAUCCGGUGAACUUUUGGACGUCACACAGCUUGGUGGGAAUCUUCAUUCUCUCGAUGGCCUUGAUCUUCACUGGGUUGCAUUCGAUGCCGCGUUCGGAGACCAGGAAGCCUAGAAGCUGGCCGGCUGGUACCCCGAACACGCAUUUCUCCGGGUUGAGCUUGAUCUGAAACCGGCGCAAAUUCUCAAAGGUCUCCUUGAGGUCUUCCAGCAGGGUGCCGCGUUUCUCCGUCUUCACCACAACAUCGUCUACAUAGACGUGGGCAUUUCUGCCGAGUUGCUUGAGGAGGCAUUUCUGCAUGCAACACUGAAAAGUGGCACCGACAUUUCUCAAGCCAAAUGUCAUAGUCAGGUAGCAGAAAGCUCCGAAUGGGGUGAUGAAGGCGGUCUUCAGGCGGUCAGCUGGGUCCAACUUUAUCUGGUGGUAGCCCGAGUAAGCAUCCAAAAAACUCAACAACUCGCAUCCGGCUGUGGAGUCUAUCACUUGAUCAAUCCUUGGCAGAGCAAAAGGAUCUUUAGGGCAGGCUUUGUUGAGGCUGGUGUAGUCAAUGCACAUGCGCCACUGCUUGUUCUUCUUCAACACCAGGACCGGGUUGGCAAGCCAUUCUGGAAAGAACACCUCCAUAAUGAAGCCAGUUGCUAGAAGUCGGGCUAUCUCUUCUUCGACUACUCUUCUCUUUUCUUCUGACAGGCGGCGCAAGGGCUGCCUGACCGACUUGGUGUCAGAUCGGACGUGUAGCUUGUGCUCGGCGAAAUCCGUCGGGACACCCGGCAUGUCUUUGGGAGACCAUGCAAAGAUGUCCCGAUUCUCACGGAGGAAAUCGACGAGCUCGCCUUCCUAUUUGCUGUCGAGGCCGGAGCCCACAACAGCGUACCUCUCCGGGUGCUCCGGGUCCAGGGUAUCUUCUUUGUCUCUUUGGCCGGCUGGAAAGAACCUUGAGCAUCACAUUCCUUAGGGUCGGGGGACAGGGUCGGCUCCUUGCCAGCCAUGGCCACGACUCGAUUCAGCAUCUUCUUCUCUUCAGCAAUCACCAGGGACUCGGCCAGCCUGCUGCUAGCUGCUGCACACUCAGAGGACUUCUUGUAGUCUCCGGCUAUGGUGAUGAUGCCCUUGGAACUCGACAUCUUCAUCUUGAGGUAGGCGUAGUGGGGCAUAGCCAUAAACUUGGCCAAAGCAGGUCGGCCAAGCAAUGCGUGGUACGGGCUCUCCAGAUCCACUACCUCAAACCAUAUUGCCUCUCGGCGGAAAUGAUCUUUGCCCCCAAAGAGGACAUCCAUCUUGAUCUUGCCGAUUGGUGAGCAGGAUAGGCCGGGUACAAUGCCAUGGAACACAGUCCGACUUGGCAUGAGUUGCUUCAGCUUGAUGUUGAGCUUCUCCAUGGUAUCACGGUACAGUAUGUUGAUGCUGCUCCCGCCAUCUAUCAGUACACGGGAGAAUCGGGCGGCUCGCCUUUCUAUCGCUAGGGUAGCAUCCAAAACCAAUGCAUAGGAGCUAGGAGACGGCAUCACCUCUGGGUGGUCGGCCUGGCUCCAGCUGAUAGGCUUCUCCGACCAGUGCAUAAACUCGGGGUUGGUGGAUGCGACCGCGUUGACUUCUUGCUGCUGUCGGCGCCGGCUAUGCCGAUCUUCUGUCUGGCUUGUAAAGACAACGUAGGCGGCAUGUUCAUCGGGGAACUCGUCUUGAAUAGCUCUGACUGCUGGCCGAGCAGCCGGCUGCAGAGUGGCUGGAGGCGGCUGGCCUGCAGGCGGAGGCGGCAAUAGCCCCUCACCCUUGGAGAUUCGUGUGAGCCAAUGGCACUUCCGAGUUGUGUGGUUGGAUGGCUUCGUGCCGCUGUGGAACUUGCAGGGGGCAUCGAGGGGUUGCUCAUAGGAGAAAGCCGGCUGCCAAGCCGGCCUGCCGCCCUUCUGCUUCUUGGGCGCCGGCCGUCCUUCAGGUUGCUCGUCUUCGACUGUGGCCACCUGCCAGCUGGUGGAGGACGGCAUAGGGACCUUACGCUUGUGGUCGUUCUGGUACAGGCGUCGGUCCGAUUCUCCAGCCCGCGUCUUGGCAGCCGGGGCUAGCACCUUUCCGGAGGCGUCUACUCGGAGCUCGGUCUUCAUCGAGGAGUUGGCCGUGGCGUACUUGUGUGCUAUGAUCAGCAGCUCGUCGAGGGUAGUCGGCUCGUCGCAGAGGAUUCGGUGCUUGAGGAGGGUGCCUUCUCUGCACCCAGCAGUGAAGUACUCUAUAGCUUGAACCUCGUGCACCCCCUCGCAGGAGUUGCGAAGCUCGGCCCAACGCGUGAGGUAGUCGCGCGUCGAUUCGUUGGGCUUUUGAACACACAAGGAAAGCUGGCGAGGCUUGGGAGGCCGCGUGUAUGUGCUGGUGAAGUUGCGGAUGACGACUUCCGUGAAGUCUAGCCAGCUGUUGGCGCUGUAAGGUUUGAGGCUGUUGAGCCAGGUGCAUGUCGUGCCUUGGAGCAUGAGGGGGACAUAUUUGACAGCAACGCGCCUAUUGCCGCUCGCUAUGCGGACUGCGGUGGAGUAGUCGAUCAGCCAAUCGUCCGGCUUCACGGAGCCGUUGUACUUGGGCGUGUCUCUUGGGAGCGAGAACCCUUUGGGGAAGGGCUCGUCGCGGAUGCGGGGGCCAAAACAAGGCAGGCCGACAUCAUCUUCUUCUUUCAGGGCCAGGGAUCAUGCCAGGCGGUCAAUCCGAUGGCGGGCAUCAUUCUCGCCGACUCCUUCUCGGUGGCCAAGUCGGCCACUAAGAGUCAGAUGCGUGACAGGCGGCAGGGUAGGAUAUCUCUCCCCGCGAGGCGGAGGAGGAGGCGGGUCGCCUCGUUGUUCCACACCUCGAGGGCGGCCUUCCGCGUCGCGCUCGAUGGUGAUUCGAGUCCGGCUGCGGCUAGCAGCCGGCUCCUUUUCUUGUCUUGCACGGGCGCCGCCCGCAGUCGGCGUACGCGACGUCGCGCCGUGCUCUUGGCGAGGGGGGCUUCCGGCACGGACGCCGGCUUCGUGCCGCUCUGCGGCCACAUCGAUUAGCUGCUGGAUGCGUCUGGUCAUGUAGGGGAGCUCGUCGGCCCCCAGUCCAUUCAGCUCAUCUACGACCGACUAAGUGGCGCGUAGGUUCUCGAGGGGCGUCGCAUAGACUGGGCGGUCCGCUCCCAGCAUGCUGGCGAUGGCUGCGCCGCGUUUCUUGACGACGCCGGCUCGGCUUGGCCCUUCAGGAGGCGGCAUGCCGAAGGCGGCGCGGUCGACUUCGCGCUGGUGAGCUUUAGUGAGGCGUCUCAUGGAGGCUAUCUUUUGGCCCUCUGCGAGGAGAGCAAGGCAGUGUGCCUCUAGUGUCUCGGCGUCGGCGUCGGCCGGGAUGGGGGCGGACAGAUCAUGCAGCGUCGCUUGCAGGGCGUCACGGGCAUUUUCGUCAGAGGUGACGCCGUGGCUGAUGACUAGCACCUCUGUGACGGUGGUGCCGCCACUGUCGGCUCGAGGAAGAGGGUCGUCGAAGAUGAUCACGUUGGUGGGGUAGGCGUCGAGCGACGCCGUGUCGGAGUCAACAAGCAUCAGGUCGGUGGAGCUAACCGCCUCCAAGUCCGCGGUAGGCUCGCUGGAGACAUGGAGUUGGUCGAGGAGGUUGACGAGGCGGCUCUCGGGGCAUCCUGUGCCCGCAUCGGAUGCGGGCCCGUCGGAGAUGCGAGCCUCGCCAAGAAGAUCGACGAGGCAGCUCACUGCGCAGGCGUCGUCGACGCUUUGCAGCUCACCGGGGCAAGCGCCAUUGGGCGUGCCGGGCUGGCUACGCUCGCUGGGGAGGAAAAGGGUUCCCGUCCAGAGCAGGUCUCCGGAUGACGGUGCACUUGGCCCCACGGUGGCCGCCAAAUGUCGGGUGGUAGGUGCGACAUAUGCCAACGGAUGGCUUAUCAUUGUGGGAGCCAGUAAGACAUCGCUGGUGCCUGGAAACGGGAUGAGGCGAAGACAUGCACGCCGGCGGAUCUUACCCAGGUUGGGGGCUCUCCGUGGAGAUAAUACCCCUACUCCUGCUCUGUGGGGUCUCCGCAUGAUCACUAGAUCGAUAAGAAGCUACAAGAGGCUCCUUGAGCUAUUCGGUGGAAGGAGGAAGAAGGGCAAGGCUAGCUCUCUCCGCUCCCUAUAGUGGUGUCUAGAACUCUAUAUGAUCAACCCUUUGCAUGGGUGCCCCGGGGGGUUUAUAUAGGCCUACCCCCCAGGGGUACAAUGGUAAUCCGGCUGGGCGCGGGCCCUAGCCGUCAGUGUCUGUGGCCGCCGGCUUCUCCGCCGGUCGCUGGGGCCCACCGACUGGUGGGUCCCGCCAGCUGCCGGCUCACUGGAUGACAGGUCGGCCCCACCGCUUGAGGCUCUUGUCGAGGGCUGGUUACUGUUGCCUUGCCUUUGAUAACGAGGGCUUUGUCGAGGUAAGCAUGGCUACAGUGCCGCCGCCUUGCGGGCUCUCAGUGUAGCCUUACCUUGUCUUGUCUCCUUAAUGGUGCGCGCGCCCCGAGGAGGGGAGCAAGCCGGCCAUAGGAAGCUGGCCAUGCCUCAGGCCAGCUGGGGGAGGCCAAGCCGCCUUCGGGCGUCUCUCUGACCGAAGGGACCCGCCGCCUGCGGGCCGUACUGGCAGCCCGUCGUGGAGGGCGUCAUGAUCAACAUGGCAACAGUGCCACGCCGGACAGGUGAUGGUUGUCCCGUACGGCGUACUGUAGCCAUGCAUGCUCUGGGAUUCAGGGGUGGCAAGGUCCACUGUUGCCACGCCCCGUCCCAUCAUCGUUAUGGGGGUGCGGACUUUUAUGGCGCGGCCCCUGGCCGCCUGCCAGGGGCCGGCCUCUUGGAGUCGGUCUUCUUGGGCCGGCUUCUUGGAGUCGGUCUUUCCGUGGCCGUCUUCUUGGGGUCGGCCCUAUCGUGGCGUCCUCCAAGAGAGUUUAGGGCCGGGCCAUCUUCCGGUAGCCGGCCUGUGAGACAGCCGGCCGGAGGAAGGCGGGCCCGCGUCUUGGGUGCUUCGAGGCUCGGUCAGCCUGUUGUUUUUUCUAAGGGCCAAUGGGAGCCGUCUAUGCUACCCGUGGUCAUUUACUCCAACAGUAUGAUAGGCCCCGACUACUCCCUCUCUUGCAAGGCUGGUCGUUGCUUCACUUUAUUGAGUGUGACCAUGGCUGUGUUCUCUCCUUAAAUGUAAUCUUGAACCUCUCCUGAAGAACAUCAAAUAGAGCGCUUGUGCCAUCAGAGGUGAGGGUGAUACCAUGUACAUAUGAAAGUUUAUCUUUUUGCAUGAACCUAUUCAAAGCACUAAAAUCAAAUGAUAACUUUUGUCUGUUUGCUAAUUUCUCCCAUGGCUUAGGAGCACGCAUUCUUCUACGGAUUGACCAGUUUUGACAUAUAAAAAUGUUCUCAUGCCUUAUCAAGUUAUCAUAUAGGAAAAUCCCAUACGAACAAAAAAUGGUUCUGAUUACAUAAUAUUAAUUACUUAUUCUCACACAAAAGCAAAAUGCAAAAUGACCCGCAUAAGAGGGGCAAGGGAUGUCUGAAUAUAGUUCCCGAGAUUAGCACGCACAAGUGAGAUAUUUGAGAAAAUAAAUGGGUUCCACAAGCUUAAAAUAUGCAUAAAAUACAAAAGCAAUUAGAAGUGGCCUCUUAAAUACAUGGUCAAUAAAGGGCAUUCAAGUAUCCAUGAUCUUGGGACAAAGCAAACCCAGUCUGUUGCUGAAUACAAGAAUAGCUGGCAGAUCACUGAAUAAUCAAGGAGUCAAAACAAACUACCUAAGCCAAGGUAGAUCAAAAGGCAUGCCAUAGUCAGAAGGAUAAUAAUUCUCAUAUGAGGAAGUAUCAGUUCCCCUUGAGCAGAAUACCGAGUGAUAACAGAUGUAUCAUAUGAACAUAGUGAAACUGUAUGUAAUGGAAACUUUUAAACUGAAAGCCUAUGGGGAAACAAUUUCUUCUCCCAGAACAGAAAAAUUUUCUUCGUUGUGUUAUCACCCUUAGAUGUUCUGCUGCAAUACGCUUCUCUUGAACCACACAGGAAAAUUACAGAAAACAUCAGUAUGUACCUUAUCAUUCUUGUCUAUUUCCUAAAAAUCCUUUUUAUCAGUUGUUCACUAUGAGAAACAAUCUUAGGGAAAAGGUAGAUUAAUAAUCAAAGAAAUGAAAUUACAAACCAGUACACAGUAUGAUUGAAUUAUUAGAGAAUCUGACUGCUAUAGAAGAUGCAUUUAGUGAAACUUGAUUAUUAUCUUCUUAAACCAAAAGAGAAUGUAUGGCUAUGACAAAAAGGAUUCAAGAUGACAAAAGAAAUAACAUAAUGAUCAAGAAAUGGUGCAGGCAGAGGAGAUAUAAACACAAACCUGAUGUUGCUAAUAGAUGGUUGCAGAUGCAUGGCUCUAUACCCGAUUUCAUAAGCAACAUCUGUAGAUUGCAUAAGUUGGGUCGUUUAGGCUCUUCCCUAUAAAAAUAGUAGCAUGUACUCUAGUUACUUCCCUAGCAAUUCUCUUUUUUGCGACGCUACUCUUCUAACAAAAAUAAUAACUUAACAACUAUUCUUCAUUCCAAAAUCUUUCAUGAAAACCCACAGAAGUCCAGAAUUCUUUGCCUAUGAUUAGCCCAACAACCUGAAGACUUGCACUGGACUCAUCAUCAUGUUUCCUGAAGGAAAUUUGGUGCGAACAUCAAGCAGACUGUACAAGCUUCACAACCACAAUAGCAGAGUACAUAACUUAGUACUUUCAUAUUUAACAUCUUCUAUUUUUAUAUUGUUUCGGCAACUCGAUGGAAAAGCUUGAUAGAAUAACAUGGUUACAACUAACAGUCUGACGGCCAAACGCAAGAAUUUCCUCCUGACGGGGAACUGACUCCACUGUAGGUUCAAGAGCUUCCAGGGGAGGCCACCAUCGAGGGAGGCCGUUUCUAAAAGGAGGGACUUAACAUGGGCGAGCAGAGGCUACAAUUGAUAAGGACGGCCUGAGGGAAGCCUGAGGGCACGGUUGCAGGUGGUGGCGGUUUCGCCUACAAAGCAGCUAGAGUACUAAAAGUGCAACAUUGAGCAACAUGUAACAACACUAACCUUCAAUAUAAUGUCAAGGGAGCUAUCCAUGGAGGUAUCUAGUUGAAACUGAGUAUGGAUGGCACUUCAAGCUAAUACUAUUACUAACUAAACUGAGCAAGACAUCGGCAUACACUUCAAGCUUUGUCAAGAUACCAGUGAGAGAAAAAUCACUGGAAGCUAAUACACAACCUUAUAACAAUAUACUACACUGGGUAUAUCCACUAUCAUCUGGUCCAGCCGUUCAGGUGAAGUGAGCGUCA